UUUUUUUCUUUAUUCAAUAUCUAUUCUUUGUUUCUUAUAUUCCGCUAAUUGUUAUCUUGAAUGUAUCUUUAUGCUUAAUAGAUAACUGGUGAUGCUAGAGCUGUCAAGAAGGCAUUGUUUUCAGUAUCAACCAUCAUCUACAAAUGCCCAUCAAAAGAGACCAUUUCUCUUGAAACUUCUGUCCCUCCAAGCAUUGUACAUCCUUCAGAGCUUCCUGUCUAUCCUGCUAGUAACUUCUACUCAGUGUCAGAUGCAGCUAUACCUUAUGGAAUGGACAUCCAAAUCUAGCUAUCUUAGCAAAGGAAGUGGCAUUCAAAUCUACAGGUUUUUCUUCUUUAGCCUUUUCGCCCAGCGUUGUCAUUAUUGACACGUUUUUGCGAUCCCUGUUUUUGAGAUCCUCAAUGACUACCACCAGAAAGGGAAUGUGACCACCAUUCUUAUUUGAUAAAAGUGUCUCCACUAUAGCACUAACGAUCCUAGACAGCAGAGAAAGCUUGAUUGGAGCUAAGAACUAUUUCUAAAGGAUCCCUUCCACUCUUCUGUGGAAAGAUCUUUCUUCGUUCAGUCCAGUCUGAUUUAAAACGUGUUGUCUACUAUUAUAGGGGUUGUCGUUAGGGUCACUCCUUCUUAUGCCGGGAGAUGGCAGUUAUCUAUAUUUAGAAAUAAUAAAGAAUAUGGGUGUGAUUGUCAUCACAAUGGAGUGAUCGAGUAAUCAGCCCUAUAGGUUCCUCUCUAUUUAGAUAGACCCCAUCAACAUGGCCAUUCCCUUCUCCUGGUAGCAAAAACCCAUUAGAGGUUUGAUUCUCAAAAGAAAACAGACUAGAAACUCAAAACUAUUCCUACUCGCCAGGUGGCUUUAUCAAUUUGAGUUUAAAAAUAGGAAAAAGAAUUGUGUCAAAAGUAGAAGUAUCAUAUCUUCUUAAGGAGCCCAACUCUAGCUAGAGAAUAAGAGGAUUAGGUUUUGGCAGGAUGCGAGGUGCCAACUUAUUAAGCAUGAGAGUCAUAAGAUCCCGGUUAUAGAAGAAGAGUAGGCCAAUCCCAAUCUUAGGCUGCAACAAACAAGGAAAUUCCUGUCAUCAAAUCGGCCUGAUCCCCAAAAGGAAAUCGCAAUCCAAAAUCCAUAUAUACGAUAUACGAUAGAUUCCGGGCACCUUGCUACAUGACACUUGUCUCGCAUUGCAUUACUGACUGCUUCUUCUUUUGAUUUCUUUGCUUUGAUGAUGCCCUUGUCCCAAAGAGAGUUCUUCAGCUGAAGAGUACUUUGGCACCCUAGAACACAUCUCCCUCUGGAUGAAGCCAACAUGUCUCAGACAAGAGUAGUAUCUGUGGCUUCAUCGAAAACUAUCAGCCAAAAUCCAAAUAAAAUGCAUCAUAGACCCAGCAUCAUCCUUCACUGGGAACUACAAAAGCAACAUCCAACUUCAACCUGGCGGCCUCUGCACACAAAACCUCCGAUAUAUAAGAAAAGAAAACCUUUUUUACAAUAUGGGAAUUUGGCCCAAUAGUCCCUCCAAUUUGAAGUGAUCAAGCCACCACUGGUACCAGUAGGGAAUAGGUACUACCACCUCCUCCAGCUCUAGCUGAGCUCUCCAGUUCUUCUCCAUCAGUGAGUUGCAAUGGGAGCAUCUCAACAUCCUCUGGUAGAAUCUGUGCAAUCCAAGCCUUCUGGGACAUCAUCCACCCGCAACUGCUUUCUCUCUUGCAGCUCUUUCAUAGCAAUGGCCUUUAUGUUUGGAGGCUAACCCAGGCAUCCAUCACUCUCCUCCCAAAGAAAAAAGAUGCCAACACCGUCGAGGAUUUUAGGCCAAUCAGUAUCAUCUCGAGAUUCAUGAAAAUCGUUUCAAAGAAGAGGAACAAACAUUGUCUUUAACAACACUCAUCCACUUAUUGACAUUGACACGUAUCAAUCGGCGUUUAUCAAGGAUCGCUCACUCAUAGAAACUUUCUUGGUUGUGACAGAACCACUUAUCUUUCGCCACAAACAUAAGAUCCCUAUGGUCCUACUCAAGGUAGACUAUCGCAAGUCAUUUGACCGAGAAAGAGAAGAGUUGUGUCUUAAAGUAAAGACGAGGAUGUGGAAAUCCACACACACUUGUCUUUCAGGCCCAGCCCACCAGGGAUUUCCAAAUCGUUAGCGGCGGGUCUUUCUUCUUCUGGGCGAGCUGCGGAGCUACUUUUUCUUUCUUUCAUUCCAUCUGUCUCUGUAUGCUUGGGUGAAUGCCAUAAGUGGAUUUAUAUGCCCCGGUUCCCAGGGUUAGGGUAUUCCCUAUGUUGAGCCUACUCAGAUCAGAACAAAACUUUUGGAUUCUCUUUCGCCUAUCGGCCGGCUUUAAACAACCUUCACAUUUCCUGCUGAGAUCCCAAGUCUCCAAGUGGGCCCUCUUGGCCACCUAAGACCUUGGCUUUUUAGAGAAUCCCGCUCCUGUGUCGUAGGACUUGUAGCUCGGCAGUCCAUCGGGUAGGUUUGUUUAUCCUUCCUUUUUCGAGUGUCUUCUUGGAUAGUUAUAGCGGCCCAUAGGCGCAAGAUGUACCUUGUGGAGGGCGGCGGUCCCCUGGACAUAGCAUAGUCCUUUCAGGCAGUGGCCGUUUAGUCCAUGGCCCGUUGGAUGGUCGGUGCAAGGCCAGAAAUUGGAACACAUUGAUUCCGCUCGUUCCUGUCCUUCGCUUCAGGGCCUGUCCCUCGGUGUGGUCAGUACUCCAUACUGUCGGGUAGCAAAGCUUACACUUGUUCACUUAUUAUGAUGGUUCACCAGGGCCUCUUUCCUCCUCCCUUUUCUGCUCACUCGUAGGGGUCCAGACCCCCACAAAGGGGGAGGGAGUCGACUGAACAUCUCAGCCAUUGGCGGGAAUUUCGCCCGCAUCUGAUCCCUAAUUCUUGUUCACCCCGAUGAUCGUGUUGGGUAAAUUGUGACCUCGUACGAUCGUAUCGGGUGAGCAACAGCCGCUUCGUCACAAUACUGACUUAUGGGCUAACAGGUCACACUUUGGCCAAGUAUCCUACAAAGAGACUCCCGAGAGCCAAAAGUAUUAAAGGAAUGGCCAUAGGAAUGGGCGCAUCAUGACAUCUUUAUCUGUCUCGCCCGAAUGAAUUAGUUGGUACUAGAAAUGUUAGAAAUAAUAAACGAAAGGAGUAAUAAGAAGUGAAAAGGACAGAGACACUUCCCAACCAGAAAGCAAAGUUCCCACUAAUGGUAUACUUUGUGUAAGCGAGCUCUAAGAUCACAUCUUUAGAAUAAAAUCCUGUUAGAAAAGGAAAUCCAAUAAGAGAUAAGCUGCCCAUGAGCAUCAUGGCAUAGGUCAAAGGAAAGGAGGAGGCAAGCCCCCCCAUCUUCCGCAUAUCUUGCUCAUCCGACAUGGCAUGAAUCACCGAACCCGCACUCAGGAAGAGUAAUGCUUUGAAAAACGCGUGAUUCAUUAAGUGAAAGACGUUAACCGAAUAGUUAGAGAUGCCGCAAGCAAAGAUCAUAUAGCCUAAUUGACUGCAAGUUGAAUAAGCUAUGACCCUAUUUAGAUCAUUCUGUAACAUUCCAGUGGUUGCCGCAAGGAAUGACGUCAUAGCUCCUGCAAAAGUAAUAACAAUCAAAGUCGUAGGUGAGUAUUCAAAUAAAGGGGAGCACCUUGCUAUCAUGAAAACGCCAGCAGUGACCAUAGUAGCUGCAUGAAUCAAAGCAGAUACUGGAGUGGGACCCUCCAUUGCAUCGGGUAACCAAGUAUGCAAUCCUAUCUGUGCAGAUUUCCCAACAACACCAAUAAAAAGUAAAAUACAAAUCAGAGUUAUGGCAUUCAAUCUCAUAUUGCAAAAAAUCCAUUUAUUUCUGGGAGCACUAGCACAAGCAAAAAUGGUUGAAAAUUCUACUGUUUGAAAGAGAGUAAAACAACCAAAAAUCCCAAGAGCUAAUCCAAAAUCACCUACUCGAUUGACAAGCAUAGCUUUUAUAGCAGCUUUAUCCGCCUGAAGUCGUGUAAACCAGAAAUGAAUUAACAAAUAUGAAGCAAGACCUGCUCCCUCCCAUCCCAGGAAUAAUUGAAGAAAGUUAUCUCCAGUCACCAACAUUAGCAUAAAAAAAGUAAAAAUGGAUAAAUAACACAUAAAUCGAGGGCUAUGCGGAUCCUCAGACAUACAUGAAAUGGAAUAAAGAUAGACCUAGCAUUUAAAAUUUAUAACCAAAGUGAAUUACCAUGCUGUUCUAAAGGACUCUCAAAAUGAUAUAAUUGAAGCAUGAGAGAUCAAUUAUUUCUAUAAAAUAGAACCACCGCCGUGCUCUAAAAGAUAUAAGCGAAGCAAUAGAGCAAAAAUUGUACAACUCAAAAGAUAUAAGUGAAUCACAUAGAGUAUUCUAAUAAAUUCCAAUUCAUGUGAGUCCCUCCCAAAAGGUGUGUACAACAAGGAUGAUUGUGGUAAACUAAAAAGCAAAGACUCAAAUCAUACAAUACGCUCCAAGCAAAACACAUAUCAUGUGGCGAAUAAAAAUAUAGCUUCAAGUAAAGUUACCGAUGGACGAAGACGAAAGAGGGGAUGCCUUCCGGGGCAUCCCCAAGCUUAGGAUUUUUGGCAUCCUUGGAUUUUACCUUGGGGUGCCUUGUGCAUCUCCAAGCUUAGGCUCUUGCCACUCCUUGUUCCAUAAUCCAUCAAAUCUUUACCCAAAACUUGAAAACUUCACAACACAAAACUUAAAAGAAAAUCUUCAUGAGCUCCGUUAGUAAAAGAAAACAAACAACCACUUCAAGGUACUGUAAUGAACUCAUUCUUUAUUUAUAUUGGUGUUAAACCUACUGUAUUCCAACUUUUGUAUGGUUCAUAAACUCUAUUACUAGCCAUAGAUUGAUCAAAAUAAGCAAACAACACGCGAAAAACAGAAUCUGUCAAAAACAGAACAAUUUGUAGUAAUCUGUAGGUUUCGAAUACUUCUGGAACCCCAAAAAUUCUAAACUAAAUUGCUGGACGUGAGGAAUUUAUCUAUUAAUCAUCUGAAAAAAUAAUUAACUAAAUAUCACCCUCCAAUAAAAAAUGACAGCAAUUCUCGUGAGCGCUAAAAUUUCUGUUUUUUACAGUAAGAUCAAAAAGACUUUCCCCAAGUCUUCCCAACGGUUCUACUUGGCACAAACACUAAUUAAACACAAAAAACACAACCAAAACAGAGUCUAUAUAAAUUAUUUAUUACUAAAUAGUAACAAAAAGUAAGGAAUAAAAAUAAAAUUGGGUUGCCUCCCAACAAGCGCUAUCGUUUAAUGCCCCUAGCUAGGCAUAAAAGCGAAGAUAGAUCUAGGUAUUGCCAUCUUUGGUAAGCAAUCCAUAAGUGGCUCUCAUAAUAGAUUCAUAUGGUAAUUUAAUUUUCUUUCUAGGGAAGUGUUCCAUGCCUUUUCUUAACGGAAAUUGGAAUUUAAUUUCCCUUCCUUCAUAUCAAUAAUUGCACCAAUCGUUCUAAGGAAAGGUCUACCAAGAAUAAUAAGACAUGAAGGAUUGCAAUCUAUAUCAAGAACAAUGAAAUCUACGGGCACAUAAUUCCUAUUCGCAACAAUAAGAACAUCAUUAAUCUUUUCCAUAGGUUUCUUAAUAGUGGAAUCCGCAAGGUGCAAGUUUAUAAAACAAUCAUCAAAUUCACGGAAACCUAGCAAAUUACACAAAGUUUUUGGGAUCGUGGAAACACUAGCACCCAAAUCACACAAAGCAUAGCAUUCACGAUCUUUAAUUUUAAUUUUAAUUUUAGGUUCCCACUCAUUAUAAAGUUUUCUAGGGAUAGAAACUUCCAACUCAAGUUUUUUCUUCGUAAGAUUGCAUCGAAGCAUCAACGAUAUGUUUAGUAAAAGCUUUAUUUUGACUAUAAGCAUGAGGAGAAUUUAGCACGGAUUGCAACAAAGAAAUACAAUCUAUUAAAGAGCAAUUAUCAUAAUUAAAUUCCUUGAAAUCCAAGAUAGUGGGUUCGUUGCUAUCUAAAAUUUUAACCUCUUCAAUCCCACUUUUACCAAUUUUUGCAUCAAGAUCUAAAAACUUUGAAUCAUUGGGACGCCUUCUAACUAAUGUUGACUCAUCUCCAGUCCCAUAAUUAUCAAGAUUCAUAUUGCAAAACAAGGAUUUAAUAGGGGACACAACAAUAACCUUUAUAUCUUCAUCCUUAUUAUCAUGAAAACUUUUCGGUUUAGCGACCAUCUUAUUAACUAAGGUGGCCUAUUUAUCCGAGAUUUCAGCAAUUAAUUUUUCAAAAUGAGCAAGCUGAGAUUUCAAACCAUAAAAUUCCUUAGACAUAUCAUUGAGCUCUUUAUUCAUGAAACUGAUAAAAGUUUUUUGUUCUUUAAGCUCAUUUCUAGAGAAAUUAUUAUGCUCAAACUGCAAGGACAUAAAACUUCUAAUGUUGUUUUCGAUUUCUUCCAACCUUGUAAGGUGAGGAUCAACUCCUUUUGGUAAAUCCAUAAGGGUAACAAGCAACAAGAGGUAAGCGAGAAAGAGGCGUACGGGAAAGAGAGGGCGAAUAAAAUGGCAAGGAUGAAGUAGAGGAGAGGAGAACGAGAGGCAAAUGACAAAUAAUGUAAUGCAAAGGAUAAGAGUUGUGAUGGGUACUUGGUAUGUCUUGACUUGGCGUAUAUCUCCCCGGCGACGAUGCCAGGAAUCCUUCUUGAUACCUCUUGAGCACUGCGUUGUUUUUCCCUUAAAGACGAAAGGGUGAUGCAGGAAAGCAGUGUAAGUAUUUCCUUCAAUUUUUAAGAACCAAAGUAUCAAUCCAGUAGGAGACCACACCAAGCUUCAAAAUAUCGGAUAUCAGGUUUGUAUCGGUUUUGACAUAUCAGAUGUCAGAUAUCGGGUGAUAUAUCAGACGAUAUGUAGAUAUAUCGGCGAACACCUGUCUAGUCUUGGGUACUAGAUCGGGACCACGGCUUGGCGCAAGGGUGCCGGUCCCAACGAUAUGGUCAAGCAGAUAAUGAUCAUUUAGUUAUCGAGUUCAACAUCGUCAUGAAAUUAUAAACACUCAGUUAGUUCAUUAGACCACAAAAGCUAAUAACUACAACAUUAAGUUCAAUACUAAGAGCACGAACACGAGAGAGGAAGUACUAAUAGCAGGAACAUAAUAAGAAAGCAAAAGCCAGGCAUACUGACGGUAGAGGCGGUCAAACUACAAAGCAAUAGCAAUUAGGCAUACUAAUUAGUAGCUCUGGCCAACUUCCUUGUUGGUCAACUUCAUAGGUGCGCUUAGAUGAUCAACCGCGUGGCCUUGGUGUGAAAGCAACUGGCGGAAGCACAUCAUGCUCUUGUGCCUGAGACCGUCUUUUUAUUUGAAUAAUCUCAGCUCAUGUGGGAAAACUAAAGCAUGAUGGCACGAACUUCAGAAGAUGUCAUGUACUCAAAGAUGACUUGAAUUCGAUGGUUCUACAAAACAGAUAAAAAUAAAGAUCAUUAUUCUAUGGAUAAGUAAGGAAAAGGGAACAAAUAAUAAACAUCUACUUCGGAUUAGCUAGUGUUAAUAAACCAUUAAAGAUUACUGAGUGUACAAAAAAUGAUGUGCGGUCAGACUAUCGAUACUCUUUAGCCUAUAUAACCUAGGUGUACGUCAUCCCUUUCUCUACAAAGUACAAUCUAGCAGUCCUUUAUUGUUAUUGUUGAAUCAAGAAAGCAAUGGAAUGAUAAAUGGAUACAUUGAACUUACACGAAAGGCCACCAGAUAUCUCAAAGAAAAGAUUGCUGAUGUAAACAUGUCUAUGCCAACCUGUGGAUAUUUAUUUGAGUAGAUGUCACUAAUUUCAAAAGUUAAUAUCUGGUAUAGGGGAAAUUCAUGUAGGUAGUAAUGUGGUGGUGGAACUGAAUUAUACAAUAAAUGCAUAUGCAUAUAUGAAACACAAUCUCUGUCUGUUGUCUAAAUAUAUGAAAUCUGCUUAUAAUCUUGAUCCAGAGCAGCCAGUAGGUCUCUAAGCUGCUUCUUUAAAAAGGAAGAUAACCAAAAAACUAAUAAUGAUUGUAGCUACAUCUUUAAUCUGUGAAGUGAUACACAUAGCCAAAGGCCCUUGAAGAUCACAUGGCUAAGGAGCAUGUCAAUAUCAGCUUUUAUGCAAGUAGAAGCAGCACACUUCAUUCACACUGCACUAUGAUAGCAGUAUGUAUACAUUGUGUAGAUACCAUUACUGAAGUAUAGUGAUAAGAAAAGAAACAUGAUUACUGCACAUUAUUUAUUCGUAAUUUAUUAUAUUUGAAGCCCCACAGAAAAAAUAAAUAAGUUGUAAAGAUCACCAUGUACGUUGAUAUGUUCACUAAAUCCUGAACUAUAGUCAGUUCAUAAUUUAAAAGCAUUAUCUCAGGGGCUUGAACUAAAAAAAAUGAAGAACCAAAUAUUAACUACAUGGGCGGGUUCACAACAUAUAUAUAGCAGCAACUCUUAUAGAUCCUUCCUAAUACAGACAAUAGAAAUAUUUUGGAGAGGGUAUUGAAGAUAAAUUAAAUUUAUUUGGUUCCUAGCCAUUUAUGUGGGGUUACAUGAUGUAUUCAACGGCCAUGAGAAUAGUGCAAGGAAUUUAAUGAUACAAAGCUAUACAUGGAAUUUAAGGAUAAAGAGUUACUUGUCUGCUGAGUGGGUUCAGAGCGACGAACGUGAAUGGUGUCAAGGAGGUCAACAGUCACACUGCCAGAUCACUGCAGUUCCAUUGCUCGACACCAUACAUAGAGAGAUGAUACGAGUUUUCUGCUCUAUGAGCUAAAGUUCUGCAGUAGAGACACGAAUCGGAAUGUACAUCAGGAAUUGGGUAAUCAGGGUAUUGCGGAAAAGAAGGCAACAUUGUAUGGCAUGUCUAGCCGUUCGACUCCCAUUUCACUCCGGGGCACCUGAGUCUAGGGCAUGCAUGUAUACAUCAAUCUCAUACCCUGCAGUCCUGCACACAUGCAACAGACAAGGACUCAGCACAGAAUAUUAUACAUACUUAAACCAAGAAAUGAGACUGCAAUAAGCGAAUCUGAAUCAUUCAAACCUGACAAAAAUACAGCUUCUAGCCAAGUAGCCUGAUAGUCCGGAUGGACAGCAACAUGAUUGUGAUAGCUGUCAUUGUUGCCCAUAAGCAACCAAGUGAUGUGGCGGUAAGUGCCCACGAGCCGAAGCUCAAGCACAGGAAUCGCUCGUACAGGCAUACUAAUAAGAAACUGUCCAUUUACAGCAACGUUAACAAAAAUUCUUGGGUCUCCAAAAGAUGCCCUGCCUACUGAAAGAGCACGAAGACCAAAAGGGAACCACUCAUGAGAAUGUGUGGUGGUAACAAAGACCACAAGAAGGUCCAGAAGAAUUUGGAAAAAAGAAAGCCCUAUGAUUACCCAGGCGAUGUUUCUACUUCUAUCUGCCCCACUUGCUCGGAUUGCUUCGAGCAUCGACAGGCACAGAUGGUUGGGGCCUGAAAAUGGCACACUAGAUUGAGUAUCUUGCAAUGCAAGCAAAGCACUGGGGUAUAAGUAAAGAAAUGGCGAGCACCUUUUUGCAUCGGAGGUCUGUCAGGCAAUGGUAAGUUAUCUUUCUCCAUGGAACUGCCAAGUUGUGGUGAAUUGUCCUUUUCAGCAACAGACUCAUUAACUGAUCCUACUGUUUCAAUGGCCUGUGAGAAGAAACACACAUAAAUAAGCAUAGAAGGAAGGAGAAGUUUGAAAAUACAGAUGAUCUGGAAGUUACCAAGCUCUCUUUGUCUGUGUCAACAAACUGCUUUGUCUUUAAAAAGAAUGCACUGAGAUUUUGCACUAACAUACUUGAACAGCUUCAGAGAUUCCAGUAAUCACUCUAAUGACAUCUACGCAAGCAAAGAAGAGUUAUUAUAAAAUCACCACCAAACAAACGAGAGAAAAGAUGAUUAGUCACAAAAUCACUUGUAAAGCGUUCAGGCAUAUCUGUAGGCCUAGGGAGCUGAGCUAUUGGAGUCAAUGCAUACGUACAGAAGGGGAACUCUGCUUCCAUUCCAGUUCUCUCCACAAGUUCAGUGCGCUUUAUAAACUUAAUCAUUAAAUGACCUUCCACUGGUCUAAAAACAUACUUCCACGGGAAUACCAGGAACUUCUGAAACUCGACGGUGUACAAAACUGCAAAGCAAAGCAAAACAACAGAAAAUGAGAUAGAAAAACAAGAAGCCUUAAACAUCAGUCAGAAAUUUCAAGCUGUAGUUGCAUGGAAAUGGUAAAUAAAAUGGUACCGGCGUUUAUAGGACCAUAGGCAUGGCCUGACUGGAUUUCAUCUAGAUAUUCGUUAAGCUUCAUCUUAGUAAUCUCAAGCCACAUUGGACUACAUGUAAAAAUAGUAAAAGUAUCAGGGGCCUCAUCCACUCAACAAAUUGUAAGACCAUCCUGAAAGUUCUCCUGGUAGUAACGCCGACCAGUGGUAUGGCUGGACGGCACAAUCGUUUUCAUCGGCAAAAGAGAACCAAUAAGAUGAUGGACCUGACCACAAAUUUUGAAGAUAUUAACCCCCGCGUGCCUUCCAGCGAACGAAUGACGUCGCCACAAUAGACGUAAAUGCCGUCCAACUGUGAUGCGGUAUCUUUGUCAGGAAUUGCUUGGAAACACGAUCACCAUGACAUGAUAAUAAAUGACUCAAUAAAGCAGGAGGAUUUCUGAAAGGUUUAACAACGACUUUUCCACCUUUGCAACAAAGGUUAUAAACAAUUUUACGUAACACACAUGAAGAAUAUGGAUUGGCCCUCUCCUCAAACCAAAAAGAAGCCUUGCAGAGAGGGCACUGGUACUCAGGAGGACCAUAGUAAGAUCUGUCCUUAUAGGAAACUACAGAAAACACAAUACUCAAGGAGGCCGUCAUGACAGGAAAAGGAAAAAACAAAACUAACAUCAACCUAAUAGUUAGUACCUUUGCGAUUGUCAACUACCUCGACAGGAAAACCAGUCCAAUCAGUUGGCAAGUCCCCUUCAAACCAAAGAUCUACAUGCAUGUUGUUAUGAGAAACAACAGCCAAAACAAAGAUACUAAGGACGGAAAGACAGGAACCCCGACCAAGAAAACCAGUACAUGUAACACCAUGGCAACGAAGGCCCCUAAGUAAUUUAUGCCUCUUCCGAUUUCUAGCCAACAUGGCAGGAGUGAGCACUGGGAACCAGGCAUCCCCUAGAAAACGACAGAACCGACACAAAUGAACAGAUGCAAGCCAAACAAAACCUAAGGAAAUGACCAUAUAGACAACAUACCAUUUCUCUUACGAAUACCACAAACACCAACAACAGGAGCAUGCAAAACACGCCGACGGCGAGCCAUCAUCAGCAAUGAGCACACAUAUAUGCAAAUACUGCAUAUUAAGACGAAAGCGAAGUAAAGACAGCACAGGUAAAUGCAAAAAAGUAUCAAACAGGAGCACAAGAGACAGUAGAGCCAAUUAAAUGAAAUAAUAAUGAUUCAUGCAUACAAAGAGAUGUUUAUUACAAGCAUACCCAAGGGAACAAUAUAAUGACCCAGACAUAAUCUAUCUAAGACACUCCUAGAUGGGCCUUAGAACCCAGACACCGAAUUGACCAGCUAUGAAUACAAUAAUUGUAAUUGAACACUUGUAUUUAUACCAGCGACAUCAACCUGCCCGCCUGCAUGUACCAGAGGCCAGGCAGGCUGGGCAAGCGCACCUGCAAGCACCAGAACCGACUGCGCAACACCUUUUAUAUGCUAACAUGCUAUCGUAAUUGUAAUCUGCAACAACAAACCCAUAUAUCCCUUGUAAAAAUUGGUUUGACACGGCACCACGUCAUCCCUAGUAAGAACAUCAAUCUCCACCCCUCCAAGCAGAAAACCAUCAGAUGCCACCACUCAAACAUAAGAAUGAAAUGGCAAUCGACAAUAGGUCGCAACAGCCUCAAGCAGAGGCACACAGGAAGAACUGAUAAUAAAAAUGCUUAUAAUAAUUAAUUAUUAAGGAGCAACCGGAAAAAUACCAACGCAGACCAUACAAAGGGAAGAACACAGAAGCCUAUGAAAUAAAUAGUAAUAAACACAACUAAAUAGCAAGCAAUAGGAAACAUAGCAAGGCACGACUUACCCUAUGAACCGAGCAGCAGCUCCACCAGUAAGUAGUUUCCAACAACAAAGUGCAACCCAAGAACUCAGUUGUAACUGAAACAAGCUGCCAAACAGAAAGUAAGGACCAUGAAAGAAAGCAAGGCAAAUUAAUAAACAGAGAAAUCAUAUGUAGAAGCAAUGAAGUCUGUAAUUGAGAAGCGCAGAUAAUCACUAAAGCAGAGAACUAACAUAACAUAAUAGCUGAAGGUGGCAAGCAAAAACAAGCAGACCCGAUGAGCAUAGCAAGCGUGAAACGCAUUCAGGAGCAGUUGGUCAACAUGCAAAGACACAGAAUGAAAGCCUAAAGCAUGGGCACCAGAUAACUGAAUCUCGCAGCAAGAAGCUAACAGCAGACACCCCCUAUUAGAAGGCACCCUCAUUAGCAGAACUGUAAACACAUCAAGCACACAAUCUCAAAUUCUCUUUGUAACCAACCAUGCCAAGUUGCCAACCAUCAUGGACAACAUCUUAACAGCCCGGCGGAGCUCAAAUCCAACACUCUCUUCCUAAUCAAACAUCCACCAUUAAGACAAGGCAAACAUCCAGCACUGAGACCAUUAUAACAAGAAGAGGGAUACCCAACCAUAAUAACUUAGGCAGACCAAAUCAAUUGACAGAGGCCAAUUAACAGACCAAACCCUUUAUUUUUUUCACACGUCACCUGACAAAGAAUAAUGUCACCAAACCAGUCCAAAAGGCGCAUACCCUGGUACAUCGACCUCUUCUGAAAAUCUCACUACAAUCGUAGAGAGAGAAUGCCGGCCCUAGCAAGAUCUAGACAACUAAGAAAAAAACACCUGUCACGCACAAGCAAACAAAGGAGGCACAAUGGAGAACUACUAAAAUCUAACCGGAGGACACCACCAUUCGUCUCCAUCAACAUAAAGAGACAAAUGUGAACUACCAAAAUCCAACCAGAGGACCCAGCCAAUACAAGAAGAAACCAAACAAAUUCACUGAUUUGCCACCAUCCACACCCAUAUGAUCGACGGACACACCAUACCGAGCAAUACACACAGACAAACAAGAAACAUAAAAAUAGAGAUAAGGAAAACGAGAGGUCGACCUGUAGUUUCCUGAUGAAAACGCGAAGACCAUCAUAGAUCGACCAGCGACACAGCAAAUCUAGGCCAAGUGAGGAGGAGAACAACGGACCUGCAAGUAGUAGACACCCAAGAUCCAAAACUGGCCAGCCAUGACAAUUCGAACACAGAAAAGAGGAAAGAACCGAGAGGAGAAUCACCUUAGCCGACGUCACCCCAGCGCGCCGCCAUCGGAGCCCCUCGGCGACCAACCCAGCGACGACUCAUGGACCAGGGAGCAGGACUACAGAGAGGAUUGAGCAACAAAACGAAAGGAGGGGAGGAGAAGAGGCAGGCGAUGACGCAGGAUAAGGGAGACGACCCACGCCCUAUGCCGUCGUAUAGCUUCGGGCCACGCGAGGUCCGGGUGCCUCUCCCCACGCACGGGCAGCGCGCCUCGACCCCAACACCGGAUCCGGCACCGCCAUGGGCCGCUCGACGGGGCAGGGGCUGGAACUGGACGGCGGCGGGGCAGGGAGGCGGGUGGGAGGGAGGAGGCGCGCGGGAGAGGAGGGGAGGCGGCGGCGAGGCGGGAGGAGCUGGGCGCGGUGGAGGCGCGAGGCGAAGGCGCGAGCGAGGGAGGAGGGAGUCGGCUGCGUGGGAGGGAGGGAGGGAGGCGGCUGCGCGAGUGCGGGAGAGAGAGGCGGCUAGGUCAUCUCCAUGGCGUGGUCCCUUUUAUACCCCCACCAUGCGAAAUGACCAAAAUACCCUGGUGGGGGCAUGGUAUUUACAUUCUGUUGCCAUUACUAUUCAUUUCAGCAGUGUUUCUUCCAAAUUCGAUAGCCCAGAUCCUCCCACCUCUCGAUCCAACAGACGAAAACGCAUCAAGGGAACAGAUCCAACGGCCCAGAAUCGCUGAUCUCUGUGGAGCCUUGUAGGAACAUCCUUCUCUUAUCUCUUGAUAUAGGAGAAAUAAGUAGGUCGGUGGAGUAACGAGGGGCCCACGAGGGUGGAGGGCGCGCCCGGAGGGGGGGUAGGCGCGCCCCCUGCCUCAUGGCCUCCUCGAUUGUUUCUUGACGUCCACUCCAAGUCCCGUGGAUCACGUUUGUUCCAAAAAUCAUGUUCACGAAGGUUUCAUUCCGUUUGGACUCCGUUUGAUAUUCCUUUUCUACGAAACACUGAAAUAUGCAAAAAAAACAGCAAUUUGGGCUGGCCCUCCGGUUAAUAGGUUAGUCCCAAAAAUAAUAUAAAAGUGUAAAAUAAAUCCCAUUAACAUCCAAAACAGAUAAUAUAAUAGCAUGGAACAAUCAAAAAUUAUAGAUAUGUUGGAGACGUAUCAAGCAUCGCCAAGCUUAAUUCCUGCUCGUCCUCGGGUAGGUAAAUGAUAAAAACAGAAUUUUUGAUGUGGAAUGCUUUCUAGAAUAUUCUUCAAUGUAUUUUUCUAUAUUGUGGCAUGAAUGUUCAGAUCUGAAAGAUUCAUGAUAAAAGUUUAUUGUUGACAUAAAAAUAGUAAUACUCCAAGUAUGCUAGUCAAGCAAUUAUGUCUUAUAAAAAUACCAUAGCCAGAGAAAACUUAACCCUACAAAGUCAUAUAGUUUGGCCAUGCUUCAUUUUCGUCACACAAAAUGCUCUCAUCAUGCACAACCCCGAUGACAAGCCAAGCAAUUGUUUCAUACUUAGCCUUUUUCAAACUCUUUCAACUUUUACGCAAUAUAUGAGCGUGAGCCAUGGACAUAGCACUAUGGGUGGAAUAGAAUAUGAUGAUUGAGGUUGUGUGAGAAGACAAAAAGGGAGAAAGUCUCACAUUGACGCGGCUAAUCAAUGGGCUAUGGAGAUGCCCACCGAUUGAUGUCAAUGCAAGGAGUAGGGAUUGCCAUGCAACAGAUGCACUAGAGCUAUAAAUAUAUGAAAGCUCAUCAAAGAAACUAAGUGGGUGUGCAUCCAACUCGCUUGCUCACGAAGACCUAGGGCAUUUGAGGAAGCCCGUCAAUGGAAUAUACAAGCCAAGUUCUAUAAUGAAAAAUUCCCACUAGUAUAUGAAAGUGACAAAAUAAGAGACUCUCUAUCGUGAAGAUCAUGGUGUACUUUGAAGCACAAGUGUGGAAAAAGGAUAGUAACAUUGUCCCUUCUCUCUUUUUCUCUCAUUUAUUUUUUUUUCUUUUUUUAUUUGGGCCUUUUUUCCUUUUUUUUUCUUUUGGCCUCUUUUCUUUUCCUUUUUUCGUCCGGAGUCUCAUCCCGACUUGUGGGGGAAUCAUAGUCUCCAGCAUCCUUUCCUCACAUGGGACAAUGUUCUAAUGAUGAUCAUCACACUUUUAUUUUCUUACAACUCAAGAAUUACAACUCGAUACUUAGAACAAAAUAUGACUCUAUGUGAAUGCCUCCGGCGGUGUACCAGGAUUGCAAUGAAUCAAGAGUGACAUGUAUGAAAAAAUUAUGAACAGUGGAUUUGCCACAAAUACGAUGUCAACUACAUGAUCAUGCAAAGCAAUAUGACAAUGAUGAUACAUGUCAUAAUAAAUGGAACGGUGGAAAGUUGCAUGGCAUUAUAUCUCGGAAUGGCUAUGGAAAUGCCAUAAUAGGUAGGUAUGGUGGCUGUUUUGAGGAAGAUAUAAGGAGGCUUAUGUGUGAUAGUGAAGGAAAUAUGCCCUAGAGGCAAUAAUAAAGUUAUUAUUUACUUCCUUAUAUCAUGAUAAAUGUUUAUUAUUCAUGCUAGAAUUAUAUUAACCGGAAACAUGAUACAUGUGUGAAUGCAUAGACAAACAGAAUGUCACUAGUAUGCCUCUACUUGACUAGCUCGUUGGUCAAAGAUGGUUAUGUUUCCUGACCAUAGACAAAGAGUUGUCAUUUGAUUAACGGGGUCACAUCAUUAGGAUAAUGAUGUGAUUGACUUGGCCCAUUUCAUUAGCUUAGCACUUGAUCGUUUAGUUUGUUGCUAUUGCUUUCUUCAUGACUUAUACAUGUUCCUAUGACUAUGAGAAUAUGCAACUCCUGUUUACCGGAGGAACACUUUGUGUGCUACCAAACGUCACAACGUAACUGGGUGAUUAAAAAGGUGCUCUACAGGUGUCUCCGAAGGUACUUGUUGGGUUGGCGUAUUUCGAGAUUAGGAUUUGUCACUCCGAUUGUCGGAGAGGUAUCUCUGGGCCCACUCGGUAAUACACAUCACUUAAGCCUUGCAAGCAUUGCAACUAAUGAGUUGGUUGCGGGAUGAUGUGUUACGGAACGAGUAAAGAGACUUGCCGGUAAUGAGAUUGAACUAGGUAUUGAGAUACCGACAAUCGAAUCUCGGGCAAGUAACAUACCGAUGACAAAGGGAACAACGUAUGUUGUUAUGCGGUCCGACCGAUAAAGAUCUUCAUAGAAUAUGUAGGAGCCAAUAUGGGCAUCCAGGUUCCGCUAUUGGUUAUUAACCAAAGAGGUGUCUCGGUCAUGUCUACAUAGUUCUCGAACCCGUAGGGUCCGCACGCUUAACAUUCGCUGACGGUAUAGUAUUAUGAGUUAUAUAUGUUGGUGACGGAAUGUUGUUCGGAGUUCCGGAUAAGAUCACGGACAUGACGAGGAACUCCGGAAUGGUCCGGAGAUAAAGAUUGAUAUAUGGGAUAAUAGUGUUUGGACUCCGGAAGGGGUUCCGGAUGUUUCCCGAAAUGUUUGGGUACGAGAACACUUUAUUUGGGCCAAAGGGGAAAGCCCACAAGGUUUUUGGAAAACGGAAAAGGAAGUUUUGCGGAGUCCAGGGGCCAGACGCCAGGGUCCCUGGCGUCUGGCCCUGGAGUCCGAGAAGGACUCUUGCCUUUCAGGUGAAACCGACUUUGUGGAGGCUUUUACUCCAAGUUCCGACCCCAAGGCUCAACAUAUAAAUAGAGGGGUAGGGCUAGCACCCAAGACACAUCAAGAAACACCAAGCCGUGUGCCGGCAACCCCGUCCCCUCUAGUUUAUCCUCCAUCAUAGUUUUCGUAGUGCUUAGGUGAAGCCCUGCGGAGAUUGUUCUUCACAAAUACCGUCACCACGCCGUCGUGCUGCCGGAACUCAUCUACUACUUCGCCCCUCUUGCUGGAUCGAGAAGGCGAGGACGUCACCGAGCCGAACGUGUGCAGAACUCGGAGGUGCCAUGCUUUCGGUACUUGGAUCAGUCGGAUCGUGAAGACGUAAGACUACAUCAACCACGUUGAUAUAACGCUUCCGCGAAUGGUCUACGAGUGUACGUAGAUAACACUCUCCCCUCUCGUUGCUAUGCAUCACCAUGAACCUGCAUGUGCGUAGGAAUUUUUUUGAAAUUACUAUGUUCCCCAAUAGUGGCAUCCGAGCCUGGUUUUAUGCGUAGAUGUUAUAUGCACGAGUAGAACACAAGUGAGUUGUGGGCGAUACAAGUCAUUCUGCUUACCACCAUGUCAUACUUUGGUUCGGCGGUAUUGUUGGAUGAAGCGGCCCGGACCGACAUUACGCGUACGGUUACGCGAGACUGGUUCUACCGACGUGCUUUGCACAUAGGUGGCCGGCGGGUGUCAGUUUCUCCAGCUUUAGUUGAACUGAGUGUGGCUAUGCCCGGUCCUUGAGAAGGUUAAAACUGCACUAACUUGAUGAACUAUCAUUGUGGUUUUGAUGCAUAGGUAAGAACGGUUCUUGCUCAACCCGUAGCAGCCACGUAAAACUUGAAAAAGUAGAGGACGUCUAACUUGUUUUUGCAGGGCAUGAUGUGAUAUGAUAUGGCCAAGGCAUGAUGCUAUAUUUUAUUGUAUGAGAUGAUCAUGUUUUGUAACCGAGUUAUCGGCAACUGGCAGGAGCCAUAUGGUUGUCGCUUUAUUGUAUGCAAUGCAAACGCCCUGUAAUGCUUUACUUUAUCACUAAGCGGUAGCGAUAGUCAUAGAAGCAUAAGUUGGCGAGACGACAACGAUGCUACGAUGGAGAUCAAGGUGUCACGCCGGUGACGAUGGUGAUCAUGAUGGUGCUUCGGAGAUGGAGAUCACAAGCACAAGAAGAUGAUAGCCAUGUCAUAUCACUUAUAUUGAUUGCAUGUGAUGUUUAUCUUUUAUGCAUCUUAUCUUGCUUUGAUUGAUGGUAGCAUUAUAAGAUGAUCUCUCACUAAAUUAUCAAGAUAUAAGUGUUCUCCUUGAGUAUGCACCGUUGCGAAAGUUCUUCGUGCUGAGACACCACGUGAUGGUCGGGUGUGAUAGGCUCUACGUUCAAAUACAACGGGUGCAAAACAGUUGCACACGCGGAAUACUCAGGUUAAACUUGACGAGCCUAGCAUAUAACAGAUACACGGAGACCGAAAGGUCGAGCGUGAAUCAUAUAGUAGAUAUGAUCAACAUAGUGAUGUUCACCAUUGAAACUACUCCAUCUCACGUGAUGAUCGGACAUGGUUUAGUUGAUUUGGAUCACGUGAUCACUUGGAAGAUUAGAGGGGUGUCUAUCUAAGUGGGACUUCUUAAGUAAUAUGAUUAAUUGAACUUAAAUUUAUCAUGAACUUAGUACCUGAUAGUUUCUAGCUUGUCUAUGUUGAUUAUAGAUAGAUGGCUCGUGUUGUUGUUUCGUUAAAUUUUAAUGCGUUCCUUGAGAAAGCAAAUUUGAAAGAUGAUGGUAGCAAUUACACGGACUGGGUCUGUAACUUGAGGAUUAUCCUCAUUGCUGCACAGAAGAAUUACGUCCUGGAAGCACCGCUAGGUGUACCACCUGCACCAGCAACUGCAGACAUUGUGAAUGCCUGGCAGUCACGUGUUGAUGACUACUCGAUAGUUCAGUGUGCCAUGCUUUACGGCUUAGAACCGGGACUUCAACGAUGUUUUGAACAUCAUGGAGCAUAUGAGAUGUUCCAGGAGUUGAAGUUAAUAUUUCAAGCAAAUGCCUGGAUUGAGAGAUAUGAAGUCUCAUAUAAGUUCUAUAGCUGCAAGAUGGAGGAGAAUAGUUCUGUUAGUGAGCAUAUACUCAGAAUGUCUGGGUACUGCAAUCACUUGAUUCAACUGGGAGUUAAUCUUCCAGGUGAUAGUGUCAUUGACAGAAUUCUUCAAUCACUGCCACCAAGCUACAAGAGCUUCGUGAUGAACUAUAAUAUGCAAGGGAUGGAUAAGACGAAUCCCGAGCUCUUUGCAAUGCUAAAGGAUGCGGAGGUACAAAUCAAGAAGGAGCAUCAAGUGUUGAUGGUCAAUAAGACCACCAGUUUCAAGAAAAAGGGCAAAGGGAAGAAGAAGGGAAACUUCAAAAAGAACGGCAAACAAGUUGUUGCUCAAGAGAAGAAACCCAAGUCUGGACCUAAGCCUGAGACUGAGUGCUUCUACUGCAAGUAGACUGGUCACUGGAAGCGGAACUGCCCCAAGUAUUUGGCAGAUAAGAAGGAUGGCAAGGUGAACAAAGGUAUAUGUGAUAUACAUGUUAUUGAUGUGUACCUUACUAAUGCUCGCAGUAGCACCUGGUUAUUUGAUACUGGUUAUGUUGCUAAUAUUUGCAACUCGAAAUAGGAGCUACGGAUUAAGCGAAGACUAGCUAAGGACGAGGUGACGAUGCGUGUGGGAAAUGGUUCCAAAGUCGAUGUGGUCGUAGUCGGCAGACUACCUCUACAUCUACCUUCGGGAUUAGUUUUAGACCUGAAUAAUUGUUAUUUGGUGCCAGCGUUGAGCAUGAACAUUAUAUCUGGAUCUUGUUUGAUGCGAGAUGGUUAUUCAUUUAAAUCAGAGAAUAAUGGUUGUUCUAUUUAUAUGAGUAAUAUCUUUUAUGGUCAUGCACCCUUGAAGAGUGGUCUAUUCUUAUUAAAUCUCGAUAGUAGUGAUACACAUAUUCAUAAUAUUGAAGCCAAAAGAUGCAGAGUUGAUAAUGAUAGUGCAACUUAUUUGUGGCACUACCGUUUAGGUCAUAUCGGUAUAAAGCCCAUGAAGAAAUUCCAUACUGAUGGACUUUUGGAACCACUUGGUUAUGAAUCAUUUGGUACUUGCGAACCGUGCCUCAUGGGCAAGAUGACUAAAACGCCGUUCUCCGAAACUAUGGAGCGAGCAACAGAUUUGUUGGAAAUCAUACAUACAAAUGUGUGUGGUCCGAUGAAUAUUGAGGCUCGCGACGGGUAUUGUUAUUUUCUCACCUUCACAGAUGAUUUAAGCAGAUAUGGGUAUAUCUACUUAACGAAACAUAAGUCUGAAACAUUUGAAAAGUUCAAAGAAUUUCAGAGUGAAGUUGAAAAUCAUUGUAACAAGAAAAUAAAGUUUCUAUGAUCUGAUCAUGGACGAGAAUAUUUGAGUUACGAGUUUGGUCUUCAUUUGAAACAAUGCGGAAUAGUUUCGCAACUGACGCCACCCGGAACACCACAACGUAAUGGUGUGUCCUAACAUCGUAAUCAUAGUUUACUAGAUAUGGUGCAAUCUAUGAUGUCUCUUACUGAUUUACCGCUAUCAUUUUGGGGUUAUGCUCUAGAGACAGCUGCAUUCAUGUUAAAUAGGGCACCAUCAAAAUCCGUUGAGACGACGCCUUAUGAACUAUGGUUUGGCAAGAAACCAAAGUUGUCGUUUCUGAAAGUUUGGGGUUGCGAUGCUUAUGUGAAAAAGCUUCAACCUGAUAAGCUCGAACCCAAAUCAGAGAAAUGUGUCUUCAUAGGACACCCAAAAGAGACUGUUGGGUACACCUUCUAUCACAGAUCCGAAGGCAAGACUUUUGUUGCUAAAUUAGGAAUCUUUCUAGAGAAGGAGUUUCUCUCGAAAGAAGUGAGUGGGAGGAAAGUAGAACUUGAUGAGGUAACUAUACCUGCUCCCUUAUUGGAAAGUAGUUCAUCACAGAAACAGGUUCCUGUGACACCUACACCAAUUAGUGAGGAAGUUAAUGAUGAUGAUCAUGAAACUUCAGAUCAAGUUGUUACUGAACCUCGUAGGUCAACCAGAGUGAGAUCCGCACCAGAGUGGUACGGUAAUCCUGUUAUGGAGGUUAUGUUGCUAGACCAUGAUGAACCUACGAACUAUGAAGAAGCAAUGGUGAGCCCAGAUUCCGCAAAAUGGCUUGAAGCCAUGAAAUCUGAGAUGGGAUCCAUGUAUGAGAACAAAGUGUGGACUUUGGUUGACUUGCCCGUUGAUCGGCAAGCCAUCGGGAAUAAAUGGAUCUUCAAGAAGAAGACUGACGCUGAUGGUAAUGUUACUGUCUAUAAAGCUCGACUUGUUGCAAAAGGUUUCAACAAGUUCAAGGGAUUGACUACGAUGAGACCUUCUCCCCCGUAGCGAUGCUAAAGUCUGUCUGAAUCAUGUUAGCAAUUGCUGCAUUUUAUGAUUAUGAAAUUUGGCAAAUGGAUGUCAAAACUGCAUUCCUGAAUGGAUUUCUGGAAGAAGAAUUGUAUAUGAUGCAACCGGAAGGUUUUGUCGAUCCAAAGGGAGCUAACAAAGUGUGCAAGCUCCAGCGAUCCAUUUAUGGACUGGUACAAGCCUCUCGGAGUUGGAAUAAACAUUUUGAUACUGUGAUCAAAGCAUAUGGUUUUAUACAGACUUUUGGAGAAGCCUGUAUUUACAAGAAAGUGAGUGGGACCUCUGUAGCAUUUCUAAUUUUAUAUGUGGAUGACAUAUUGUUGAUUGGAAAUGAUAUAGAAUUUCUGGAUAGCAUAAAAGGAUAUUUGAAUAAAAGUUUUUCAAUGAAAGACCUCGGUGAAGCUACUUACAUAUUGGGCAUCAAGAUCUAUAGAGAUAGAUCAAGACUCUUAAUUGGACUUUCACAAAGCACAUACCUUGACAAAGUUUUGAAGAAGUUCAAAAUGGAUCAAGCAAAGAAAGGGUUCUUGCCUGUGUUACAAGGUGUGAAGUUGAGUAAGACUCAAUGCCCGACCACUGCAGAAGAUAGAGAGAAAAUGAAAGAUGUUCCCUAUGCUUCAGCCAUGGGCUCUAUAAUGUAUGCAAUGCUGUGUACCAGACCUGAUGUGUGCCUUGCUUUUAGUUUAGCAGGGAGGUACCAAAGUAAUCUAGGAGUGGAUUACUGGAUAGCGGUCAAGAACAUCCUAAAAUACCUGAAAAGGAUGAAGGAUAUGUUUCUCGUUUAUGGAGGUGACAAAGAGCUCAUCGUAAAUGGUUACGUCGAUGCAAGCUUUGACACUGAUCCGGACGAUUCUAAAUCACAAACCGGAUACAUGUUUUUAUUAAACGGUGGAGCUAUCAGUUGGUGCAGUUCUAAACAAAGCGUCGUAGCAGGAUCUACAUGUGAAGCGGAGUAUAUAGCUGCUUUAGAAGCAGCAAAUGAAGGAGUCUGGAUGAAGGAGUUCAUAUCCGAUCUAGGUGUCAUACCUAGUGCAUCGGGUCUAAUGAAAAAUCUUUUGUGACAAUACUGGUGCAAUUGCUUAGGCAAAGGAAUCCAGAUUUCACAAGAGAACCAAGCACAUCAAGAGACUCUUCAACUCCAUCCGGGACCAAGUCCAGGUGGGAUACAUAGAGAUUUGAAAGAUACAUACGGAUCUGAAUGUUGCAGACCCGUUGACUAAGCCUCUUCCACGAGCAAAACAUGAUCAGCACCAAGGCUCCAUGGGUGUUAGAAUCAUUACUGUGUAAUCCAGAUUAUUGACUCUAGUGCAAGUGGGAGACUAAAGGAAAUAUGCCCUAGAGGUAAUAAUAAAGUUAUUAUUUAUUUCCUUAUAUCAUGAUAAAUGUUUAUUAUUCAUGCUAGAAUUGUAUUAACCGGAAACAUGAUACAUGUGUGAAUACAUAGACAAACAGAAUGUCACUAGUAUGCCUCUACUUGACUAGCUCGUUGGUCAAAGAUGGUUAUGUUUCCUGACCAUAGACAAAGAGUUGUCAUUUGAUUAAUGGGGUCACAUCAUUAGGAUAAUGAUGUGAUUGACUUCACCCAUUUCGUUAGCUUAGCACUUGAUCGUUUAGUUUGUUGUUAUUGCUUUCUUCAUGACUUAUACAUGUUUUUAUGACUAUGAGAUUAUGCAACUCCUGUUUACCGCAGGAACACUUUGCAUGCUACCAAACGUCACAACGUAACUGGGUGAUUAUAAAUGUGCUCUACAUGUGUCUCCGAAGGUACUUGUUGGGUUGGCGUAUUUCGAGAUUAGGAUUUGUCACUCCGAUUGUCGGAGAGGUAUCUCUGGGCCCACUCGGUAAUACACAUCACUUAAGCCUUGCAAGCAUUGCAACUAAUGAGUUGGUUGCGGGAUGAUGUGUUACAGAACGAGUAAAGAGACUUGCCAGUAAUGAGAUUGAACUAGGUAUUGAGAUACCGACGAUCGAAUCUCGGGCAAGUAACAUACCGAUGACAAAGGGAACAAUGUAUGUUGUUAUGCGGUCCGACCGAUAAAGAUCUUCGUAGAAUAUGUAGGAGCCAAUAUGGUCAUCCAGGUUCCGCUAUUGGUUAUUGACCAGAGAGGUGUCUCGGUCAUGUCUACAUAGUUCUUGAACCCAUAGGGCCCGCACGCUUAACGUUCGUUGACGAUAUAGUAUUAUGAGUUAUAUAUGUUGGUGAGUGAAUGUUGUUCGGAGUUCCGGAUAAGAUCACGGACAUGACGAGGAACUCCGGAAUGGUCCGGAGAUAAAGAUUGAUAUAUGGGAUAAUAGUGUUUGGACUCCGGAAGGGGUUUCGGAUGUUUCCCGAAAUGUUUGGGUACGAGAACACUUUAUUUGGGCCAAAGGGGAAAGCCCACAAGGUUUUUGGAAAGCGCAAAAGGAAGUUUUGUGGAGUCCAGGGGCCAGACGCCAGGGUCCUUGGAGUCUGGGUCCAGACGCCGGGAACCGUGGCGUCUGGCCCUGGAGUCCAAGAAGGACUCUUGCCUUUCAGGUGAAACCGACUUUGUGGAGGCUUUUACUCCAAGUUUCGACCCCAAGGCUCAACAUAUAAAUAGAGGGAUAGGGCUAGCACCCAAGACACAUCAAGAAACACCAAGUUGUGUGCCGGCAACCCCGUCCCCUCUAGUUUAUCCUCCGUCAUAGUUUUUGUAGUGCUUAGGUGAAGCCCUGCGGAGAUUGUUCUUCACCAACACCGUCACCACGCCGUCGUGCUGCCGGAACUCAUCUACUACUUCGCCCCUCUUGCUGGAUUGAGAAGGCGAGGACAUCACCGAGCCGAACGUGUGCAGAACUCGGAGGUGCCGUGCUUUCGGUACUUGGAUCGGUCGGAUCGUGAAGACGUACGACUACAUCAACCGCGUUGAUAUAACGCUUCCGCGAACGGUCUACGAGGGUACGUAGACAACACUCUCCCCUCUCGUUGCUAUGCAUCACCAUGAUCCUGCGUGUGCAUAGGAAUUUUUUUGAAAUUACUACAUUCCCCAACAGAUAGAGCGUAUCAUAUCACGGGGUUUGGAUGCACCGGCGAAGUUUGCACCAACUCUCAAGGUGAGAAAGGGCAAUGCACGGUACCGAAGAGGCUAGCAAUGAUGGAAGGGUGAGAGUGCGUAUAAUCCAUGAACUCAACAUUAGUCAUAAAGAACUCACAUACUUAUUGCAAAAAUUUACAAGUCAUCAAAACCAAGAACUAUGCGCAUGCUCCUAGGGGAUAGAUUGGUAGGAAAAGACCAUCGCUCAUCCCCGACCGCCACUCAUAAGGAAAGCAAUCAAAGAACACCCCAUGCUUCAAAUUUGUCACAUAAUGUUUACCAUACAUGCAUGCUAUGGGACUUGCCAACUUCAACACAAGUAUUCGUCAAUUUUACAAUUACUCAACUAGCACACCUCUAAUAUUACCACCUUUAUAUCUCAAAACCAUCUAUCAAGCAUCCAACUUCUCUUAGCAUUUAAAAUUUAUAACCAAAGUGAAUUACCAUGCUGUUCUAAAGGACUCUCAAAAUGAUAUAAGUGAAGCAUGAGAGAUCAAUUAUUUCUAUAAAAUAGAACCACCACCGUGCUCUAAAAGAUAUAAGCAAAGCAAUAGAGCUAAAAUUGUACAACUCAAAAGAUAUAAGUGAAUCACACAGAGUAUUCUAAUAAAUUCCAAUUCAUGUGAGUCCUUCCCAAAAGUUGUGUACAACAAAGAUGAUUGUGGUAAACUAAAAAGUAAAGACUCAAAUCAUACAAUACGCUCCAAGCAAAACACAUAUCAUGUGGCGAAUAAAAAUAUAGCUCCAAGUAAAGUUACCGAUGGACGAAGACGAAAGAGGGGAUGCCUUCCGGGGCAUCCCCAAGCUUAGGAUUUUUGGUGUCCUUGGAUUUUACCUUGGGGUGCCUUGUGAAUCCCCAAGCUUAGGCUCUUGCCACUCCUUGUUCCAUAAUCCAUCAAAUCUUUACCCAAAACUUGAAAACUUCACAACACAAAACUUAAAAGAAAAUCUUCGUGAGCUCCGUUAAUAAAAGAAAACAAACCACCACUUCAAGGUAAUGUAAUGAACUCAUUCUUUAUUUAUAUUUGUGUUAAACCUACUGUAUUCCAACUUUUGUAUGGUUCAUAAACUCUAUUACUAGCCAUAGAUUCAUCAAAAUAAGCAAACAACAUGCGAAAAAGAGAAUCUGUCAAAAACAGAACAGUCUGUAGUAAUCUGUAGGUUUCGAAUACUUCUGGAACCCCAAAAAUUCUAAAGUAAAUUUCUGGACGUGAGGAAUUUAUCUAUUAAUCAUCUGCAAAAAUAAUUAACUAAAUAUCACCCUCCAAUAAAAAAUGGCAUCAAUUCUCGUGAGCGCUAAAAUUUCUGUUUUUUACAGCAAGAUCAGAAAGACUUUCCCCAAGUCUUCCCAACGGUUCUACUUGGCACAAACACUAAUUAAACACAAAAAAACACAACCAAAACAGAGGCUAGAUAAAUUAUUUAUUACUAAAUAGUAACAAAAAGCAAGGAAUAAAAAUAAAGUUGGAUUGCCUCCCAACAAGCGCUAUCGUUUAACGCCCCUAGCUAGGCAUAAAAGCGAAGAUAGAUCUAGGUAUUGCCAUCUUUGGUAGGCAAUCCAUAAGUGGCUCUCAUAAUUGAUUCAUAUAGUAAUUUCAUUUUCUUUCUAGGGAAGUUUUCCAUGCCUUUCCUUAACGGAAAAUGGAAUUUAAUUUCCCUUCCUUCAUAUCAAUAAUUGCACCAAUCGUUCUAAGGAAAGGUCUACCAAGAAUAAUAGGACAUGAAGGAUUGCAAUCUAUAUCAAGAACAAUGGAAUCUACGGGCACAUAAUUCCUAUUCGCAACAAUAAGAACAUCAUUAAUCUUUUCCAUAGGUUUCUUAAUAGUGGAAUCCGCAAGGUGCAAGUUUAUAGAACAAUCAUCAAAUUCAUGGAAACCUAGCAAAUCACACAAAGUUUUUGGGAUCGUGGAAACACUAGCACCAAAAUCACACAAAGCAUAGCAUUCAUGAUCUUUAAUUUUAAUUUUAAUUUUAGGUUCCCACUCAUCAUAAAGUUUUCUAGGGAUAGAAACUUCCAACUCAAGUUUUUUCUUCGUAAGAUUGCAUCAAAGCAUCAACGAUAUGUUUAGUAAAGGCUUUAUUUUGACUAUAAGCAUGUGGAGAAUUUAGCAUGGAUUGCAACAAGGAAAUACAAUCUAUCAAAGAGAAAUUAUAAUAAUUAAAUUCCUUGAAAUCCAAGAUAGUGGGUUCGUUGCUAUCUAAAGUUUUGACCUCUUCAAUCCCACUUUUACCAAUUUUUGCAUCAAGAUCUAAAAACUCUGAAUCAUUGGGACGCCUUCUAACUAAAGUUGACUCAUCUCCAGUCCCAUCAUUAUCAAGAUUCAUAUUGAAAAACAAGGAUUUAAUAGGGGACACAUCAAUCACUUUUAGAUCUUCAUCCUUAUUAUCAUGAAAACUUUGCGGUUUAGCGGCCAUCUUAUUAACUAAGGCGGCCUCCUUAUCCGAGAUUUCAGCAAUUAAUUUUUCAAGAUGAGCAAGCUGAGAUUUCAAACCAUAAAAUUCCUUAGACAUAUCAUUGAGAUCUUUAUUCAUGAAACCGAUAAAACUUUUUUGUUCUUUAAGCUCAUUUCUAGAGAAAUUAUUAUGCUCAAACUGCAAGGACAUAAAACUUCUAACGUUGUUUUCGAUUUCUUCCAACCUUGUAAGGUGAGGAUCAACUCCUUUUGGUAAAGCCAUGAGGGCAACAAGCAACAAGACGUAAGCGAGAAAGAGGCGAAUGGGAAAGACAGAGCGAAUAAAACGGCAAGGGUGAAGUGGGGGAGAGGAAAACGAGAGGCAAAUGGCAAAUAAUGUAAUGCAAAGGAUAAGAGUUGUGAUGGGUACUUGGUAUGUCUUGACUUGGCGUAGAUCUCCCCGGCAACGACGCCAGAAAUCCUUCUUGCUACCUCUUGGGCACUUUGUUGGUUUUCCCUUGAAGAGGAAAGGGUGAUGCAGUAAAGCAACGUAAGUAUUUCCCUCAGUUUUUGAGAACCAAGGUACCAAUCCAGUAGGAGACCACACACGAGUCACCUCGUACCUACACAAACAAAUAAGAACCUCGCAACCAACACGAUAAAGGGGUUGUCAAUCCCUUCACGGCCACUUGCAAGAGUGAGAUCUGAUAGAGAUGAUAAUAAUAAGAUAAAUAUUUUUGGUAUUUUUAUGAUAUAGAUUGAAAGUAAAGAUUGCAAAAUAAAAUAGAUUGGAAACUUAUAUGAUGGAGAAUAGACCCGGGGGCCAUAGGUUUCACUAUUGGCUUCUCUCAAGAUAGCAUAAGUAUGGUGGGUGAACAAAUUACUAUUGAGCAAUUGAUAGAAAAGCGAAUAAUUAUGAGAAUAUCUAGGUAUGAUCAUGUAUAUAGGCAUCACAUCCGUGACAAGUAGACCGACUCUUGCCUGCAUCUACUACUAUUACUCCACACAUCGACCGCUAUCCAGCAUGCAUCUACUACUAUUACUCCACACAUCAACCGCUAUCCAGCAUGCAUCUAGAGUAUUAAGUUCAUAAGAAUGGAGUAACGCCUUAAGCAAGAUGAAAUGAUGUAGAGGGAUAAACUCAUGCAAUAUGAUAUAAACCCCAUCUUUUUAUCCUCGAUGGCAACAAUACAAUACGUGUCGUUUCCCUUUCUGUCACUGGGAUCGAGCACCGCAAGAUUGAACCCAAAGCUAAGCACUUCUCCAAUGGCAAGAAAGAUCAAUCUAGUAGGCCAAACCAAACUGAUAAUUCGAAGAGACUUGCAAAGAUAAACCAAUCAUACAUAAAAGAAUUCAGAGAAGAUUCAAAUAUUGUUCAUAGAUAGACUUGAUCAUAAACCCGCAAUUCAUCAGAUCUCGACAAACACACCGCAAAAGAAGACUACAUCGAAUAGAUCUCCAAGAGAAUUGAGGAGAACUUUGUAUUGAGAUCCAAAGAGAGAGAAGAAGCCAUCUAGCUACUAGCUAUGGACCCGAAGGUCUGAGGUAAAUGACUCACACAUCAUCGGAGGGGCCAUGGAGUUGAUGUAGAGGCCCGCCGUGAUCAAUGACCCCUCCGGCGGAGCUCCGGAAAAGGCCCCAGGAUGGGAUCUCUUGGGUACAGAAGGUUGCGGCGGUGGAAAUAGGGUUUCGUGGUGCUCCUGGAUGUUCUCGGGGUAUAUGGAUAUAUAUAUAUAUAUAUAUAUAUAUAUAUAUAUAUAGGAGGAAGAAGUAGGUCGGUGGAGCAACGAGGGGCCCACGAGGGUGGAGGGCGUGCCCAGGGGGGUAGGCGCGCCCCCUGCCUCAUGGCCUCCUCGAUUGUUUCUUGACGUCCACUCAAAAUCCCCUGGAUCACAUUUGUUCCAAAAAUCACGUUCCCGAAGGUUUCAUUCUGUCUGGACUCCGUUUGAUACUCCUUUUCUACGAAACACUGAAAUAGGCAAAAAACAGCAAUUUGGGCUGAGCCUCCGUUUAAUAGGUUAGUCCCAAAAACAAUAUAAAAGUGUAAAAUAAAGCCCAUUAACAUCCAAAACAGAUAAUAUAAUAGCAUGGAACAAUCAAAAAUUAUAGAUACGUUGGAGACGUAUCAGAUAUCUGGUGUUCAAGGGGGGCUUGCCUAGUUGCUUUGGCAAGAAGGAAGGGUCGUCAACACCGUAGUCGAGCUGGGGGUCGCCGGUAGUCUCGGGGUCUACCAAAAAGAAGUAACGGAGGGGAAACACAAUAAAUAACAAAGCAAUCAAAGCAUCACAAAGUAUAACAUGGCAAUACGCGGUGCUAGGUUUGACCUAACGUAGUACUAGGUGAUACCGGUGAAGGAGGAAAACAUCCGGGAAGUAUUCCCGGUGUUUCGCGUUUUCGAACAGAUGAACCGGAGGGGGAAAGUUGUGUGUUUGCUAUGCUAGGGAUGUGUGGCGGAAGAACAGGCUGCGUAUUCGGAUUCGUCUCGUCGUUCUGAGCAACUUUCAUGUACAAAGUAUUUUCAUCCGAGUUACGGUUUAUUUGCUAUUGUUUAUCAAAGUUUUAGGCAUUUUUUUAAGUUCAUUUAAUUAUUUAAAUCAAACAUUAUCCAGAACAGUGAAAGGUGAUGUCAGCAUGACAUCACCAUGACAUCAGCAGGUCAAACCCAGCUGAUGAGAGUCAAACCUGGCCUGUGGGUCUAGUGGGACCCACCUGUCAUAGACUAAGGCUAACUAAACAUGUUUAGUUAGUUUAGCUAAUUGAUUAGGUUAAUCAAACACAAUUAAUUUAAUUAAUUAAUUUAGUUAAUUAAUUAAUUAAUAUUUGUAUUUAUUUAUUAUUAUUCUUAAUUCUUUUUUAAUUCUUUUUUCUAAUCGUUCUGGGUGGGCCCCCCUUGUCAUAGGCCCUAGAGGCCUUAAUGGGGCGNNNNNNNNNNNNNNNNNNNNNNNNNNNNNNNNNNNNNNNNNNNNNNNNNNNNNNNNNNNNNNNNNNNNNNNNNNNNNNNNNNNNNNNNNNNNNNNNNNNNUAGGGCCAGGACAGCACGCCGGCGUGGAGCAGUGGCAGGGCGUGCACGCGCGGUCUCGGCAAGGUGCGGGCACGGCGGCCGUCAACGGGGAAGGCGGGUCGGCACGGUGGCACACAGUAGCAGCAGAAGCGGCGCAGCAGUUGAGGCUGUGGGCGCGUGAGCGGCUGCCGGCAGACGAGGUCAAGCAGAGGGGGAGCGGGGCGGGGUAUGUCAUCCGGGCGAGAGGACGCGAGCGCAUGCGCGCGUGAUGGUGCGCUGAGCGCAGCGGGCAGGGCCACGGCGCGGCCAACAACGGCUACAAGGCGAGGUGGGCGCAGUGGCCGGCGAGCAGCAGUGAAGGUGGUGGAGGGGGCCGCGGCAGACACGGGACAGAGGAAGAGACGGGGAAAGGGCGAGGCUCGAGGUGUCCUUUGGGGAGGAGGACGGGGAUGCAAGAUCCGGCGACGGGGCGGUGGUCGGCGACGAGCGUCGGCGGAGUGGCUCCGGGCGGCGUCGGCGACGGUUCCUCGGGUGGGGGCGUGGUCGGGCAGCCGUGUACGACGAGGUGGCGGCGGGGGAUGACUCUGGCGCGGGAGUGGUGGCGGAGGUGGGUGCAGGGGAGGAUGAGGCGAGUUCGGGGGAGGCGCAGGGCGUGGCCGGCGGGAGGAGCUGCGGGGUCGAGCGAGAGCGCUCUCGCUCGUCCGUGGCGGCGCGAGGCGGGUGGGGGUCGAGAGGAUCAUGCAGAUAGGGAGUGGGGGCGAGAGGUGUGAGGGUCUAGGGUUCAGUUGCAGGGGGUUAUUGGGGCAGUGGUGGGCCGACUGGGUGUGCGACCAGCUGGGCUGUGGCCCAGUUGGACCAGGGGCACUUUUCCUUUUUAUUUUACUUCUUUUUGUUUUUUUUAUUUAUCCUUUAUUUAUUUAUUUUAGUUUCUAUUUAUUUUAGUUUUAAUAAAAUACAAAAGUGACACCUAAUUUAGUGUUACAAAUUGUGGCUUUGCAACUAUUAAUUUAGCUCUCCAAAAUAAAAUGGUUUGUAAUAGUUUAUUCUUUUUAAAAGCAUUUAAGUAAUUGUUUAGCCCCUAUUUCAAUUAAUUUCUUACAUCUAAACAUUUUAUCAAAAUGUGGUUUCAUCAGCAUAAUUACAUAUGCAUUAUAUGUCAUCUCUCGAACAUUUUAGUUUUAAUUUUUGAAAACAUUUGUUGCUUGCCUAUAUUUUAAAUUUGAAUUUGAAUCGUUUUUUGAACCAUCGCGAAAUUAAUAACAGUAAUCGCAGUGACAUGGCAUCAUUAGCAAAGGUCCACUGUAGCUUAAUUAUCCGGGCGUCACAAUUCUCCUCCAUUACAAGAAAUCUCGUCCCGAGAUUUUAAGAGGCUGAGUAAGGGGAAAGAUGUGGUUACUAAAUUCUAACAAUUCUUCUCGGUCUUAGUUUCUCUUCUCAAAGAGGUCGAUCCAUUACAUUCAUGUCUUCAUUUCUCUGCUUCAAGUCAUCAUGAUGAAGUUGUCGUCCUUCCUUAAGGAUCUUCACUAUACUUACAAAAGACUAAAGGAGGAGCAUUCCGGGAGAACAGACCUCGGCAAGGUUGACUAUCUAGUCGAGAACAUCGAGGAAGGUGGCGGAGAGUAACUCUCGAAUUGAAACUUAUGAAAAUAUCGAGAGCAAAGUAAGGAGUUAUCAUGGGAAGUUUCGAGCGGGCAGGCAAGCGCUCGAUGCCUGAAACAGGGCGCGAAAGGGACCCAAAGCAACGGGAAUAAGUAUUGUGUCUGAUAGCAGAAUUGAUGAUCUCUCGAAAGGUGGCUCAUGAAUUACAUAUGAGACCACACGCGAGGAAUAACUAUGGAAAUAGGGGGUACAUGAGAGUGAAGGAAAUAUGCCCUAGAGGCAAUAAUAAAGUUAUUAUUUAUUUCCUUAUAUCAUGAUAAAUGUUUAUUAUUCAUGCUAGAAUUGUAUUAACCGGAAACAUAAUACAUGUGUGAAUACAUAGACAAACAGAGUGUCACUAGUAUGCCUCUACUAGACUAGCUCGUUAAUCAAAGAUGGUUAUGUUUCCUAACCAUGGACAAAGAGUUGUUAUUUGAUUAACGGGAUCACAUCAUUAGGUGAAUGAUCUGAUUGACAUGACCCAUUCCAUUAGCUUAGCACUUGAUCGUUUAGUAUGUUGCUAUUGCUUUCUUCAUAACUUAUACAUGUUCCUAUGACUAUGAGAUUAUGCAACUCCCGUUUACCGGAGGAACACUUUGUGUGCAACCAAACGUCACAACGUAACUGGGUGAUUAUAAAGGUGCUCUACAGGUGUCUCCAAAGGAACAUGUUGGGUUGGCGUAUUUCGAGAUUAGGAUUUGUCACUCCGAUUGUCGGAGAGGUAUCUCUGGGCCCUCUCGGUAAUGCACAUCACUUAAGCCUUGCAAGCAUUGCAACUAAUGAGUUAGUUGCGGGAUGAUGUAUUACAGAACAAGUAAAGAGACUUGCCGGUAACAAGAUUGAACUAGGUAUGGGAUACCGACGAUCGAAUCUUGGGCAAGUAACAUACCGAUGACAAAGGGAACAACGUAUGUUGUUAUGCGGUCUGACCAAUAAAAGAUCUUCGUAGAAUAUGUAGGAGCCAAUAUGAGCAUCCAGGUUCCGCUAUUGGUUAUUGACCGGAGACGUGUCUCGAUCAUGUCUACAUUGUUCUCGAACCCGUAGGGUCCGCAUGCUUAAGGUUACGAUGACAGUUAUAUUAUGAGUUUAUGCAUUUUGAUGUACCGAAGGUUGUUCGGAGUCCCGGAUGUGAUCACGGACAUGACGAGGAGUCUCGAAAUGGUCGAGACAUAAAGAUUGAUAUAUUGGAAGCCUAUGUUUGGAUAUCGGAAGUGUUCCAGGUGAAAUCGGGAUUUUACCGGAGUACCGGGAGGUUACCGGAACCCCCCAGGAGGUAUAUGGGCCUUAGUGGGCCUUAGUGGAAGAGAGGAGAGGUGGCCAGAGAUGGGAUGCGCGCCCCUCCCCCCUUGGUCCGAAUUGGACAAGGAGAGGGGGCCGGGCCCCCUUCCUCCUCUCUCUCCUCUUCCCCCCUCCACGAAUCCUAUUCCAACUAGGAAAGGGGGGGGGGGUCCUACUCCCAGAGGGAGUAGGACUCCUCCUGGCGCGCCUCUCCUGGCCGGCCGGCCCCCUCCCUUGAACCUUUAUAUACGGAGGCAUGGGCACCCCCUAGAGACACAAGUUGAUCCACGUGAUCAUAUUCUUAGCCGUGUGCGGUGACCCCUUUCCACCAUAGUGCUCGAUAAUAUUGUAGCGGUGCUUAGGCGAAGCCCUGUGACGGUAGUACAUCAAGAUCGUCACCACGCCGUCGUGCUGACGGAACUCUUCCCCGACACUUUGCUGGAUCGGAGUCCAGGGAUCGUCAUCGAGCUGAACGUGUGCUAGAACUCGGAGGUGCCAAAGUUUCGGUGCUUGAUCGGUCGGGCCAUGGAGACGUACGACUACAUCAACCAAACGCUUCCGUUGUCGAUCUACAAGGGUACGUAGAUCAUACUCUCCCCUCUCGUUGCUAUGCAUCACCAUGAUCUUGCGUGUGCGUAGGAUUUUUUUUGAAAUUACUACGUUUCCCAACAGUGGCAUCCGAGCCUAGGUUUUAUAUGUUGAUAUUAUAUGCACGAGUAGAACACAAGUGAGUUGUGGGCGAUAUAAGUCAUACUGCUUACCAACAUGUCAUACUUUGGUUCGGUGGUAUUGUUGGACGAAGCGGCCCGGACCGACAUUACGCGUACGCUUACGCGAGACCGGUUCUCCCGACGUGCUUUGCACAUAGGUGGCUUGCGGGUGACAGUUUCUCCAACUUUAGUUGAACCGAGUGUGGCUACGCCCGGUCCUUGCGAAGUUUAAAACAGCACCAACUUGACAAACUUUCAUUGUGGUUUUGAUGCGUAGGUAAGAUUGGUUCUUGCUUAAAGCCCGUAGCAGCCACGUAAAACAUGCAACAACAAAGUAGAGGACGUCUAACUUGUUUUUGCAGGGCAUGUUGUGAUGUGAUAUGGUCAAGACAUGAUGCUAAAUUUUAUUGUAUGAGAUGAUCAUGUUUUGUAACUGAGUUAUCGGCAACUGGCAGGAGCCAUAUGGUUGUCGCUUUAUUGUAUGCAAUGCAAUCGCGCUGUAAUGCUUUACUUUAUCACUAAGCGGUAGCGAUAGUCGUGGAAGCAUAAGAUUGGCGAGACGGCAACGAUACUACGAUGGAGGUCAAGGUGUCGCGCCGGUGACGAUGGUGAUCACGACGGUGCUUCGGAGAUGGAGAUCACAAGCACAAGAUGAUGAUGGCCAUAUCAUAUCACUUAUAUUGAUUGCAUGUGAUGUUUAUCUUUUAUGCAUCUUAUCUUGCUUUGAUUGACGGUAGCAUUAUAAGAUGAUCUCUCACUAAAUUUCAAGAUAAAAGUGUUCUCCCUGAGUAUGCACCGUUGCCAAAGUUCGUCGUGCCCAGACACCGCGUGAUGAUCCGGUGUGAUAAGCUCUACGUCCAUCUACAACAGGUGCAAGCCAGUUUUGCACACACAGAAUACUCAGGUUAAACUUGACGAGCCUAGCAUAUGCAGAUAUGGCCUCGGAACACCGAGAUCGAAAGAUCGAGCGUGAAUCAUAUAGUAGAUAUGAUCAACAUAGCGAUGUUCACCAUUGAAAACUACUCCAUUUCACGUGAUGAUCGGUUAUGGUUUAGUUCAUUUGGAUCACGUGAUCACUUAGAUGAUUAGAGGGAUGUCUAUUUAAGUGGGAGUUUAAGUAAUAUGAUUAAUUGAACCUAAAUUUAUCAUGAACUUAGUACCUGAUAGUAUCUUGCUUGUUUAUGUAUGAUUGUAGAUAAAUGGCCCGUGUUGUUGUUGCGUUGAAUUUUAAUGCGUUCCUUGAGAAAGCAAAGUUGAAAGAUGAUGGUAGCAAUUACACGGACUGGGGCCGUAACUUGAGGAUUAUCCUCAUUGCUGCACAGAAGAAUUACGUCCUGGAAGCACCGCUAGGUGCCAGGCCUGCUGCUGGAGCAACACCAGAUGUUGUGAACAUUUGGCAGAGCAAAGCUGAUGACUACUCGAUAGUUCAGUGUGCCAUGCUUUACGGCUUAGAAUCGGGACUUCAACGACGUUUUGAACAUCAUGGAGCAUAUGAGAUGUUCCAGGAGUUGAAGUUAAUAUUUCAAGCAAAUGCCCGGAUUGAGAGAUAUGAAGUCUCCAAUAAAUUCUAUAGCUGCAAGAUGGAGGAGAACAGUUCUGUCAGUGAGCAUAUACUCAAAAUGUCUGGGUAUAAUAAUCACUUGAUUCAGAUGGGAGUUAAUCUUCCAGAUGAUUGCGUCAUUGACAGAAUUCUCCAAUCACUGCCACCAAGCUACAAGAGCUUUGUGAUGAACUAUAAUAUGCAAGGGAUGAACAAUACUUUUCCCGAACUCUUCUCAAUGCUGAAAGCUGCAGAGGUAGAAAUCAAGAAGGAGCAUCAAGUGUUGAUGGUCAACAAGACCACUAGUUUCAAGAAAAAGGGCAAAGGGAAGAAGAAGGGGAACUUCAAGAAGAAAAGCAAGCAAGUUGCUGAUCAGGAGAAGAAACCCAAAUCUGGACCUAAGCCUGAAACUGAGUGCUUCUACUGCAAGCAGACUGGUCACUGGAAGCGGAACUGCCCCAAGUAUUUGGCGUAUAAGAAGGAUGGCAAGGUGAACAAAGGUAUAUGUGAUAUACAUGUUAUUGAUGUGCACCUUACUAGAGCUCGCAGUAGCACCUGGGUAUUUGAUACUGGUUCUGUUGCUAAUAUUUGCAACUCGAAACAGGGACUACGGAUUAAGCGAACACUGGCAAAGGACGAGGUGAUGAUGCGCGUGGGAAAUGGUUCUAAAGUCGAUGUGAUCGCGGUCGGCACGCUACCUCUACAUCUACCUUCGGGAUUAAUAUUAGACCUAAAUAAUUGUUAUUUGGUGCCUGCGUUGAGCAUGAACAUUAUAUCUGGAUCUUGUUUAAUGCGAGACGGUUAUUCAUUUAAAUCAGAGAAUAAUGGUUGUUCUGUUUAUAUGAGUAAUAUCUUUUAUGGUCAUGCACCUUUGAAGAGUGGUCUAUUUUCGAUGAAUCUCGAUAUUAGUGACACACAUAUUCAUAAUGUUGAAGCCAAAAGAUGUAGAGUUGAUAAUGAUAGUGCAACUUAUUUGUGGCACUGCCGUUUAGGUCAUAUCGGUGUAAAGCGCAUGAAGAAACUCCAUACCGAUGGACUUUUGGAACCUCUUGAUUAUGAAUCACUUGGUACUUGCGAACCAUGCCUUAUGGGCAAGAUGACUAAAACACCGUUCUCCGGUACAAUGGAGAGAGCAACAGAUUUGUUAGAAAUCAUACAUACAGAUGUAUGUGGUCCGAUGAAUGUUGAGGCUCGUGGCGGAUAUCGUUAUUUUCUCACCUUCACAGAUGAUUUAAGCAGAUAUGGGUAUAUCUACUUAAUGAAGCAUAAGUCUGAAACAUUUGAAAAGUUCAAAGAAUUUCAGAGUGAAGUUGAAAAUCAUCGUAACAAGAAAAUAAAGUUUCUGCGAUCUGAUCGUGGAGGAGAAUAUUUGAGUUACGAGUUUGGUCUACAUCUGAAACAAUGCGGAAUAGUUUCACAACUCACGCCACCCGGAACACCUCAGCGUAAUAUGGUGUCCGAACGUCGUAAUCGUACUUUACUUGAUAUGGUGCGAUCUAUGAUGUCUCUUACAAAUUUACCGCUAUCAUUUUGGGGUUAUGCUUUAGAGACGGCCGCGUUCACGUUAAAUAGGGCACCAUCAAAAUCCGUUGAGACGACACCUUAUGAACUGUGGUUUGGCAAGAAACCAAAGUUGUCGUUUCUUAAAGUUUGGGGCUGCGAUGCUUAUGUGAAAAAGCUUCAACCUGAUAAACUCGAACCCAAAUUGGAGAAAUGUGUCUUCAUAGGAUACCCAAAGGAGACUGUUGGGUACACCUUCUAUCACGGAUCCGAAGGCAAGACAUUCGUUGCUAAGAAUGGAUCCUUUCUAGAGAAGGAGUUUCUCUCGAAAGAAGUGAGUGGGAGGAAAGUAGAACUUGAUGAGGUAACCGUACCUGCUCCCUUAUUGGAAAGUGGUGCAUCACAGAAAACUGUUUCUGUGACACCUACACCAAUUAGUGAGGAAGCUAAUGAUAAUGAUCAUGAAACUUCAGAACAAGAUACUACUGAACCUCGUAGAUCAACCAGAGUGAGAUCCGCACCAGAGUGGUACGGUAAUCCUGUUCUGGAAAUCAUGCUACUAGAUCAUGAUGAACCUACGAACUAUGAAGAAGUGAUGGUGAGCCCAGAUUCCGUAAAAUGGCUUGAGGCCAUGAAAUCUGAGAUGGGAUCCAUGUAUGAGAACAAAGUAUGGACUUUGGUUGACUUGCCCGAUGAUCGGCAAGCAAUUGAGAAUAAAUGGAUCUUCAAGAAGAAGACUGACGCUGACGGUAAUAUUACUGUCUACAAAGCUUGACUUGUCGCAAAAGGUUUUCGACAAGUUCAAGGGGUUGACUAUGAUGAGACCUUCUCACCCGUAGCGAUGCUUAAGUCUGUCCGAAUCAUGUUAGCAAUUGCCGCAUUUUAUGAUUAUGAAAUUUGGCAGAUGGAUGUCAAAACUGCAUUCCUGAAUGGAUUUCUGGAAGAAGAGUUGUAUAUGAUGCAACCGGAAGGUUUUGUCGAUCCAAAGGGAGCUAACAAAGUGUGCAAGCUCCAGCGAUCCAUUUAUGGACUGGUGCAAGCCUCUCGGAGUUGGAAUAAAUGCUUUGAUAGUGUGAUCAAAGCAUUUGGUUUUAUACAGACUUUUGGAGAAGCCUGUAUUUACAAGAAAGUGAGUGGGAGCUCUGUAGCAUUUCUGAUAUUAUAUGUGGAUGACAUAUUACUGAUUGGAAAUGAUAUAGAAUUUCUAGAUAGCAUAAAGGGAUAUUUGAAUAAGAGUUUUUCAAUGAAAGACCUCGGUGAAGCUGCUUACAUAUUAGGCAUAAAGAUCUAUAGAGAUAGAUCAAGACGCUUAAUUGGACUUUCACAAAGCACAUACCUUGACAAGAUUUUGAAGAAGUUCAAAAUGGAUCAAGCAAAGAAAGGGUUCUUGCCUGUGUUACAAGGUGUGAAGUUGAGUCAGAGUCAAUGCCCGACCACUGCAGAAGAUAGAGAGAAAAUGAAAGAUGUUCCCUAUGCGUCAGCCAUAGGCUCUAUCAUGUAUGCAAUGCUAUGUACCAGACCUGAUGUGUGCCUUGCUAUAAGUCUAGCAGGGAGGUACCAAAGUAAUCCAAGAGUGGAUCACUGGACAGCGGUCAAGAACAUCCUGAAGUACCUGAAAAGGACUAAGGAUAUGUUUCUCGUAUAUGGAGGUGACAAAGAGCUCAUCGUAAACGGUUACGUUGAUGCAAGCUUUGACACUGAUCCGGACGAUUCUAAAUCGCAAACCGGAUACGUGUUUACAUUAAACGGUGGAGCUGUCAGUUGGUGCAGUUCUAAACAGAGCGUCGUGGCGGGAUCUACGUGUGAAGCGGAAUACAUAGCUGCUUCGGAAGCAGCGAAUGAAGGAGUCUAGAUGAAGGAGUUCAUAUCCGAUCUAGGUGUCAUACCUAGUGCAUCGGGUCCAAUGAAAAUCUUUUGUGACAAUACUGGUGCAAUUGCCUUGGCAAAGGAAUCCAGAUUUCACAAGAGAACCAAGCACAUCAAGAGACGCUUCAAUUCCAUCCGGGAUCUAGUCCAGGUGGGAGAUAUAGAGAUUUGCAAGAUACAUACGGAUCUGAAUGUAGCAGACCCGUUGACUAAGCCUCUUCCACGAGCAAAACAUGAUCAACACCAAGGCUCCAUGGGUGUUAGAAUCAUUACUGUGUAAUCUAGAUUAUUGACUCUAGUGCAAGUGGGAGACUGAAGGAAAUAUGCCCUAGAGGCAAUAAUAAAGUUAUUAUUUAUUUCCUUAUAUCAUGAUAAAUGUUUAUUAUUCAUGCUAGAAUUGUAUUAACCGGAAACAUAAUACAUGUGUGAAUACAUAGACAAACAGAGUGUCACUAGUAUGCCUCUACUAGACUAGCUAGUUAAUCAAAGAUGGUUAUGUUUCCUAACCAUGGACAAAGAGUUGUUAUUUGAUUAACGGGAUCACAUCAUUAGGUGAAUGAUCUGAUUGACAUGACCCAUUCCAUUAGCUUAGCACCCGAUCAUUUAGUAUGUUGCUAUUGCUUUCUUCAUAACUUAUACAUGUUCCUAUGACUAUGAGAUUAUGCAACUCCCGUUUACCAGAGGAACACUUUGUGUGCAACCAAACGUCACAACGUAACUGGGUGAUUAUAAAGGUGCUCUACAGGUGUCUCCAAAGGAACAUGUUGGGUUGGUGUAUUUCGAGAUUAGGAUUUGUCACUCUGAUUGUCGGAGAGGUAUCUCUGGGCCCUCUCGGUAAUGCACAUCACUUAAGCCUUGCAAGCAUUGCAACUAAUGAGUUAGUUGCGGGAUGAUGUAUUACAGAACGAGUAAAGAGACUUGCCGGUAACAAGAUUGAACUAGGUAUGGGAUACCGACGAUCGAAUCUCGGGCAAGUAACAUACCGAUGACAAAGGGAACAACGUAUGUUGUUAUGCGGUCUGACCGAUAAAAGAUCUUCGUAGAAUAUGUAGGAGCCAAUAUGAGAAUCCAGGUUCCGCUAUUGGUUAUUGACCGGAGACGUGUCUCGGUCAUGUCUACAUUGUUCUCGAACCCGUAGGGUCCGCAUGCUUAAGGUUACGAUGACAAUUAUAUUAUGAGUUUAUGCAUUUUGAUGUACCGAAGGUUGUUCGGAGUCCCGGAUGUGAUCACGGACAUGACGAGGAGUCUCGAAAUGGUCGAGACAUAAAUAUUGAUAUAUUGGAAGCCUAUGUUUGGAUAUCGGAAGUGUUCCAGGUGAAAUCGGGAUUUUACCGGAGUACCGGGAGGUUACCGGAACCCCCCGGGAGGUAUAUGGGCCUUAGUGGGCCUUAGUGGAAGAGAGGAGAGGUGGCCAGAGAUGGGACGCGCGCCCCUCCCCCCCUUGGUCCGAAUUGGACAAGGAGAGGGGGCCGGCCCCCCUUCCUCCUCUCUCUCCUCUUUCCCCCCCUCCACGAAUCCUAUUCCAACUAGGAAAGGCGCGCCUCUCCUGGCCGGCAGGCGCCUCUCCUGGCCAGCAGGCCCCCCUCCCUUGAACCUUUAUAUACGGAGGCAGGGGCACCCCCUAGAGACACAAGUUGAUCCACGUGAUCAUAUUCUUAGCCGUGUGCGGUGCCCCCUUCCACCAUAGUCCUCGAUAAUAUUGUAGCGGUGCUUAGGCGAAGCCCUGUGACGGUAGUACAUCAAGAUCGUCACCACGCCGUCGUGCUGACGGAAAUCUUCCCCGACACUUUGCUGGAUCGGAGUCCGGGGAUCGUCAUCGAGCUGAACGUGUGCUAGAACUCGGAGGUGCCAUAGUUUCGGUGCUUGAUCGGUCGGGCCGUGGAGACGUACGACUACAUCAACCAAACGCUUCCGUUGUCGAUCUACAAGGGUACGUAGAUCAUACUCUCCCCUCUCAUUGCUAUGCAUCACCAUGAUCUUGCGUGUGCGUAGGAAUUUUUUUGAAAUUACUACGUUUCCCAACAGAGAGUCAGGUUUCGAUCAUGUGGAACUUAUGGGUUAUGGGCCCACCAUGUGGGUUAAAACAAGGAAGGGCGUUAACAGCUGAUACGUCUCCAACGUAUCUAUAAUUUUUGAUUGCUUGCUAUAUUACCUACUGUUUUGGACUAUAUUGGGCUUUAUUUUCCACUUUUAUAUUAUUUUUGGGACUAACCUAUUAACCGGAGGCCCAGCCCAGAAUUGCUGUUUUUUGCCUAUUUCAGUGUUUUGGAGAAACAGAAUAUCAAGUGGGGUCCAAACGGAACGAAACCUUUGGGAGCGCGAUUUUCUCAUCAGAUAAGACCCAAGAGACUUGGACCCUCCGUCAAGAAAGCCACGAGGCAGUCAUGAGGGUGGAGGGCGCCCCCCCUAGGGCGCGCCCCCUGCCUCGUGGGCCCCUCGAAGCUCCACCGACGUAUUCCUUCCUCCUAUAUAUACCUACGUACCCCCAAACGAUCAGAUAUGGAGCCAAAAACCUAAUUCCACCACCGCAACUUUCUGUAUCCACGAGAUCCCAUCUUGGGGCCUGUUCCGGAGCUCUGACGGAGGGGGCAUCGAUCACGGAGGGCUUCUACAUCAUCAUCCAAGCCCCUCCGAUGAAGUGUGAGUAGUUCACUUCAGACCUACGGGUCCAUAGUUAGUAGCUAGAUGGCUUCUUCUCUCUUUUUGGAUCUCAAUACAAUGUUCUCCCCCUCUCUCAUGGAGAUCUAUUCGAUGUAAUCUUCUUUUUGCGGUGUGUUUGUUGAGACCGAUGAAUUGUGGGUUUAUGAUCCAGUCUAUCUAUGAAUAAUAUUUGAAUCUUCUCUGAAUUCUUUUAUGUAUCAUUUGUUAUCUUUGUAAGUCUCUUCAAAUUAUCAGUUUGGUUUGGCCUACUAGAUUGGUUUUUCUUACCAUGGGAGAAGUGCUUAGCUUUGGGUUCGAUCUUGCGGUGUCCUUUCCCAGUGACAGAAGGGGCAGCAAGGCAUGUAUUGUAUUGUUGCCAUCGAGGAUAACAAGAUGGUUUUUUUAUCAUAUUGCAUGAAACUAUCCCUCUACAUCAUGUCAUCUUGCUUAAGGCGUUACUCUGUUUUUAACUUAAUACUCUAGAUGCAUGCUGGAUAGCGGUCGAUGAGUGGAGUAAUAGUAGUAGACGUAGGCAGGAGUCGGUCUACUUGUGUCGGACGUGAUGCCUAUAUACAUGAUCAUACCUAGAUAUUCUCAUAACUAUGCUCAAUUCUGUCAAUUGCUCAACAGUAAUUUGUUCACCCACCGUAGAAUACUUAUGCUCUUGAGAGAAGCCACUAGUGAAACCCAUGGCCCCCGGGUCUCUUUCUCAUCAUAUCAAUCUCCAUCACUUUAUUAUUGCUUUGCUUUUUACUUUUCACUUUGCGUCUCUAUACCAAAAAUACCAAAAAUAUUAUUUAUCAUCUCUAUCAGAUCUCACUUUCGUAAGUGACCGUGAAGGGAUUGACAACCCCUAAGCACGUUGGUUGCGUUGAGCUACUGUUUUUGUGUAGGUACGAGGAACUCACGCGUAGCCUCCUACUGGACUGAUACCUUGGUUCUCAAAAAUUGAGGGUAAUACUUACGCUACUUUACUGCAUCAUCCUCUCCUCUUCGGGGAAAUCCAACGCAGUGCUCAAGAGGUAGCAACAACUUGCAUGACCAUGAUAGCAAGGCAUGUCAGAGAAUAUCCGGUCAGUUAUGUUGGCAACAUCGUUGGUACCAAGGGCGAGGGACGAAGAGAACCAUUUUCCUACUCGUUGAACGAGGCAGACCAAUAGGCAAAGUUCUCAUCCGUCGGUGGUUACCGGAAUGUCAUCAACAAUAGUAACAGGUCCUUACUGACAGAGUUGUACACCAAGGUGUUUACAUAAGCAGGAGAAUAUUACUGCUUAGAUCAUAUAGAUCACCAGAAAGGUUAAACAAAUCAAUGAAAAGGAAAAGGUGACCAUCAGAUUAAACAAAACAAUGGAAAGGAAAAUGUGUUUAAACACAUUUUUCAGGGGUAUAUCCUUCACAAGGACAAGCAAAGAAUGGUAUCCAUGACAGGAUAUAACGUAGAAAACCCUUUAGGAAAGGGGAGAGGAAUUUCAUGACAUUACCCAUUGAUACGUCUCCAACGUAUCUAUAAUUUUUUUAUUAUUCCAUGCUAUUAUAUUAUCUGUUUUGGAUGUUUAAUGGGCUUUAUUAUACACUUCUAUAUUAUUUUUGGGACUAACCUACUAACCCAAGGCCCAGUGCAAAUUGCUGUUUUUUGCCUAUUUCAGUGUUUCGCAGAAAAGGGAUAUCAAACAGAAGCCAAACGGAAUGAAACCUUCAGGAGAGUUAUUUUUGGAACAAACGUGAUCCAGGAGACUUGGAGUAGACGUCAAGAAAGAAGCGAGGUGGCCACAAGGCAAGGAGGCACGCUUGCCCCCCUGGGUGCGCCCCCUCCCUCAUGGGCCCCUCGCAGCUCCACCGACCUACUUCUUCCUCCUAUAUAUAUCCAUAUACCCCGAAAACAUCCAGGAGCACCAUGAAACCCUAUUUCCACCGCCGCAACCUUCUGUACCCAAGAGAUCCCAUCUUGGGGCCUUUUUCGGAGCUCCGACGGAGGGGGAAUCGAUCACGGAGGGCUUCUAUGUCAACACCAUAGCCUCUCCGAUGAUGGGUGAGUAGUUUACCACAGACCUUUGGGUCCAUAGUUAUUUGCUAGAUGGCUUCUUCUCUCUCUUUGGAUCUCAAUACAAAGUUCUCUUCGAUCUUCUUGGAGAUCUGUUUGAUCUAACUCUUGCGGUGUGUUUUACGAGAUCCGAUGAAUUGUGGGUUUAUGAUCAAGUUUAUCUAUGAAGAAUAUUUGAUUCUUCUCUAAAAUGUUUUAUGUAUGAUUGGUUAUCUUUGCAAGUCUCUUCGAAUUAUCAGUUUGGUUUGGUCUACUAGAUUGAUCUUUCUUGCAAUGGGAGAAGUGCUUAGCUUUUGGUUCAAUCUUGCGGUGUCCUUUCCCAGUGACAGCAGGGGCAGCAAGGCACGUAUUGUAUUGUUGCCAUCGAGGAUAAAAAGAUGGGGUUUAUAUCAUAUUGCUUGAGUUUAUCCCUCUACAUCAUGUCAUCUUGCCUAAUGCGUUACUCUGUUCUUAUGAACUUAAUACUCUAGAUGCAUGCUGGAUAGUGGUCCCUGUGUGGAGUAAUAGUAGUAGAUGCAGAAUCGUUUCGGUCUACUUGUCACGAACGUGAUGACUAUAUACAUGAUCAUGCCUAUAUAUUCUCAUAAUUAAGCACUUUUCUAUCAAUUGCUCGACAGUAAUUUGUUCACCCACCGUAAUACUUAUGCUAUCUUGAGAGAAGCCACUAGUGAAACCUAUGGCCCCCGGGUCUAUCUUUUAUCAUAUAAGUUUCCAAUUUACUUUGCAAUCUUUACUUUCGAUCUAUAUCAUAAAAAUACCAAAAAUAUUUAUCUUAUUAUCUCUAUCAGAUCUCACUCUCGUAAGUGACCAUGAAGGGAUUGACAACCCCUUUAUCGCGUUGGUUGCGAGGUUCUUAUUUGUUUGUGUAGGUACGAGGGACUUGCGUGUAGUCCCCUACUGGAUUGAUACCUUGGUUCUCAAAAACUAAGGGAAAUACUUACACUACUUUGCUGCAUCACCCUUUCCUCUUCAAGGGAAAACCAACGCAGUGCUCAAGAGGUAGCCCCCAUACAACGGUGUUUGGAUAAUUGAUAAAGAAAUUUUAGCAUUGUGCUUCAAAUGUUCUUAUUGAAAAUCAUAGUACCACAGACAUGCUUCGAGAUAGCAUUAACAUGGUCAUUAGGUGAAGAUCAGACUUUGGAAACACAAAGGAUCCAUCAGGAACAACGUAUAGAAUAAGCGUUACAAUUUCCUCGGGGAAUAAUGGAUAACCUUGCUAAAAAGGAAACUAUAACAAUAGGUCCUUCGGCCAGGUGUGUUAGGCAUGACCUCACCUUACUGGUUCAUAUAAAGACCAAUUAUUAUAACUCUUGGAAAUAUGUUCCAACCAUCAUAUCUGACCAAGAUUCAAAUCUGAUUGGUGUUAGGAUACCUCAGACUCAUGAUGCCUCAGAAGGAAUGGGUGCAACACAGUUUGACGAGAUGGCGUUGCGAGAUUCUCGGGAAAUGAACUAUGGAAGCAAGUUCUUAAUCAUGAGUUCAUCAUUAAACCAAGGAGAGGAUGAGAUGGCUGAUGGACUCAGCAACAAUUCAUUGAGAUUUCCAAAAAUAUGGAUUUCCACGAUUAUGUGAACAAGGGAUAACAUUUGUCAGAUCAAAUGAUAUAAUGAUGUAUGCUCGAGGAGAACAUCCAAGAGCAAACAUUGGUUGAAAGGUGCACCCGAAAUAUGGGCUUAGGUAGCAUGAUCAAUGUUAGUAUGGUUAUUUGAUAACCAAUACACAAAGAAUGAAACUAUCAUUCAUUAACUUACAAGAAACAGGGUUGCUAGAAGUUUUGAAAAUUUCACAUCACAGUCCAUUUGUCAGUAUUCUGGUUGGAAAUAAUGCCGGGACUAAGGAAUGAAGGGAGAUGGCAAGAAGUAUCACUUGUAUCAAGAAUUUUUAAGAGGUGGUGAAAUUCUCAGGACAUUCUUGACAUAAAAGAUGGUAAUACUCCAAGGUAAAGAAGAACAAAUGCUAGAUAGCAAGGAUCUCAAGGUAUAACACAAAACAUGAACAAGUUUGUGUUGAACGGAAGGCAAUAAAGUGGUCGAUGAUAACACAAAUAAUUUAGGGCAAGGAUGGUAUUUCUCAUCAUGAAUUCAAUUGAUAUCCUGGAAGAGCUCAGAAUGCUGAUGAUGAUCAUGACACAUUUGUCGAGAGAUUUCAUGAAGAUGUAAUCGAUCGGCGAUGGCAUCAAGUCAAAGGAAUGAUGAAGCGAAUGGCUAUUGGAACCAUGAGUACGGCACAAACUCGAAAUUGAGUUUGUUUUUCAAGGAGAAAUUAUAUGACAAGGAAAAUCUAUGUAAGAUUAGCUCACCGUUGAAAUUUGUGCUAUAGGAAGAAGGACCAGGUAGCACAGUUAAAAUCAGCACGAUAAUGAUAUAGCCGAUUGGGCUAGGAAUGACUUGAAGGAUUAUUAAACUCAUAGGCAACAAAAAUUACUUAGGGUUAUCGAACCGGAAUGCGGAAUCUGUUCACAUAUCAGUGUUCUCGGUUGACGACAACCCAGAACCCAUGAAAAAUUGGAAUCAGUGAGAAAUAAUAGCUGAUGAAGACUCAUAAGAUGCAACACAGUUCUUAGAUAUUCUCGAGAUACCAGAGGGUAAUACUCGACGGUAGAUCAAAGUAGAGGUUGGACUGGUGUAAUGACUUGCAAAAGACAAGUGCUUUAACUUGUCCGAGAAAUGGGAUCAAAGAAGAGCAUGGUCGAAACCACGAUUGCAAAGGAUCAAUUCACUGAUACCAAAUGAUAUUAUAUCAAGGAAAUAUUUUUUAUUACAAGAAGCUUCCAUGAUAGGAUCUACAUCAUGUCCGUGGGCAUGAACACAAGUUCAAGGUCGACUCCCACCUCUUCAAUGUAUAACCUUCCAUUCACCUCUCUCUUUCUGAAAAUGACAUUAGUUGUUGAAAGUCUUACCUGGUACAAUACCAGAUAAGUAUGACCCGUGAAAUAUUUCGGGUUCACACAGAUUAAGGAAGGCAUAGGUUCAACCCAUCGGGGCAUCGUAGAAACAUAUGCAACAAACAUCAGGAGUAAAUAACACAAGCUCGAAAGUAGAGCAUGGUUGACAAAGCAGAGGAUACAAUUUACCAAAGGCAUUAUGUAUUAGGGAAAGAACUUUCCAAGGUUUUUGUAAACGAAGGACAAUUUCAGAUGAUAAAUUUAACAAAGGAUCUGACGGUCCAUAACGGAGCUGAUGUGAACAUCGGUACCCAACCAAAAUAAGAAGGGAUGCAAGGAGAUCAGAUUAUAGAAACAACUGACUAAUUGAAACUCAAAUGCAAAGGAAUUAUGAUUUCCGAAUCAAAUGAUCAGAAGUAACACUCUGAUUAAGGAUGGAUAAGUUGGAUAGACUUAGGGGUACAAUCGAUGACAAUUUGAUUGGUCGAGAACCAGCUCACGUUCAAAAUGACGUCUGAGUCAGGAGGAUGAAUUCUAGGAUCUGUCUGAGGAUUGCGAGCAUUCGCAACAUAUUGAAUCAAGGGACUUAGACUGAUAGUGACAAAGAAUGUCAACGGAGAUUACCAGAAAUAUGAAAUUAACCAUAAUGCAUGAAGGCAAGAAAUUCAGGAUCAAUAGGCUGCUGAGGAUUUUCAGAAGAUCAAAUAGUUUCUCAAAGAACUUUGUGAAACACACGAACAAAUAGAUGAACAAAUCCUCGGUAAAUGUGAGGAAUUAUUCAUAGGGGUAUUCAUGCGGCAAAGAUCUGCAAGGCAGUAGGGACAAAGUACUCUUGAGCAAUAGAGAGAAUUUCGGGGUAUCUUGUAAUAACAAGAUCAACGGGGAAUGAUUGUAUGAAUGACAAGUGUACAUGGUUAUCCAAAAGGGUUUAGCAAUGGAAAGGAAUUGCUGAAACGAUGGCACAAAGUCUCAAUAGAACAUCAGAGAGUAUCUUCGGAAUCUUGUGGUGCAGCAGUCGAUCAUCGAUAAUAAGGUGCUCCCCGGGUGAAAGUGAUCACGCGAUCCUAAUGUUAGAUUUAGCAAAAUUCAUUUAAACCGAAUAGAAGAGAGAUCAAAGUCCCAAAGUAUAGACGAGAAAUAAAAGAUCCUGAUACAACCCAAUGGCAGCAUGGGCCCAUGGGCCGCACAACCAUGUUAGUAAAACAAUUUUCAUCGACUAGACUCGACCUUCAGCCAAGGAGUGUGGAAGGGGAUUCCUACAGGCAGUCGGCUCUGAUACCAACUUUUGACGCCCUCGAUUUUACCAUACACUAAUCAUACACGCAAAUGUGUACGAUCAUGAUCAAGGACUCACUGAAAGAUAUCACAACACAACUCUAGACACAAAUUAAAAUAAUACAAGCUUUAUAUUACAAGCCAGGGGCCUCGAGGGCUCGAACACAUAAGCUCGAAUACACGAGUCAGCGGAAGCAAUAAUAUCUAAGUACACACAUAAGUUAAACAAAUUUGCCUUAAGAAGGCUAGCACAAACUGGGAUACGGAUCGAAAGAGGCGCAUGUCUCAUGCCUGGGAUCCUCCUAAACUACUCCCAGUCAUCGUCAGUGGCCUGCACGUAGUAGUAGGCACCUCCAGUGUAGUACGAGUCAUCGUCGACGGUGGCAUUUGGCUCCUGGACUCCAACGUCUGGUCGCAACAACCGGGUAUAGAAAGGGGAAAAGGGGAAGCAAAGCAACCGUGAGUACUCAUCCCAAGUACUUGUAAGCAAGGAGCUACACUACAUAUGCAUUUGUAUCAAUGAAAGGGGUAGUAUAUGUGGACUGAACUGCAGAAUGCCAGAAUAAGAGGGGGAUAGCUAGUCCUAUCAAAGACUACGCUUCUGGCAGCCUCCAUCUUGAAGCAGUAGAAGAGAGUAGAUGGUAAGUUAACCAAGUAACAUCGCAUAGCAUAAUCCUACCCGAUGAUCCUCCCCUCGUCGCCCUAGGAGAGAGCGAUCACUGGGUUGUAUCUGGCACUUGGAAGGGUGUAUUUUAUUAAGUAUCUGGUUCUAGUUGUCAUAAGGUCAAGGUACAACUUCGGGUCAUCCUUUUACCGAGGGACACGACUAUUCGAAUAGAUAAACUUCCCUGUAGGGGUGCACCACAUUUCCCAACACGCUCGAUCCCCUUUGGCCGGACACACUUUCCUGGGUCAUGCCCGGCCUUGGAAGAUCAACAUGUCGCAGCCCUACCUAGGCACAACAGAGAGGUCAGCACGCCGGUCUAAAUCAUAUGGCGCAGGGGUCUGGGUGCAUCGCCCGUUGCACACCUGCAUGUUGCGAACGUGGCCGGAAGCAGACCUAGCCUCCCUAAUACAAGAGCAAGCGUUCCAGUCCAAUCCGGCGCGCGUCGCUCAGUCGCUGACGUCAAGAAGGCUUUGGCUAAUACCGCGACGUCGAGUGCCCAUAACUGUUCCCGCAUAGUUGGUUAGUGCGUAUAGGCUAGUGGCCAGACUCAGAUCAAAUACCAAGAUCUCGUUAAGCGUGUUAAUUGAUGUAACCGCGGACGCCGACCAGGGCCAGGCCCACCUCUCUCUCCUAGGUGGUCUCAACCUGCCCUGUCGCUCCGCCACAAAGUAAAAGUUAGGGGGCCAUCGGGAACUCAGGCCCACCACUACCUGGAUGGAGCCACCUAUCCUUUCAGCCCCCACAUCGGAAUCACUUGCGAGUACUCUACGAGCCGACCCAACUUUAGUCACCACAUGUAUCACAUAUUAUGUAUAUAAGUAUAUACCCGUGAUCACCUCCCAAGUGAUCACGACCCGAUAGUAUAGCAUGGCAGACGGACAAGAAUGUAGGGCCACUGAUGGAAUACUAGCGUCCUAUACUAAGCAUUUAGGAUUGCAGGUAGAGGUAACAAUAGUAGUAGCAAGGACAGGCUAUGCAUUAGAAUAGGAUUAACGGGAAGCAGUAACAUGCUACACUACUAUAAUGCAAGCAGUAGAGAGAAGAAUAGGCGAUAUCUGGUGAUCAGGGGGGGCUUGCCUGGUUGCUUUGGCAAGAAGGAAGGGUUGUCAACACCGUAGUCGAGCUGGGGGUCGCCGGCAGUCUCGGGGUCUACCAGAAAGAAGUAACAGAGGGGAAACACAAUAAAUAACAAAGCAAUCAAAGCAUCACAAAGUAUAACAUGGCAAUACGCGGUUCUAUGGGUGACCUAAUGCAGUACUAGGUGAUACCGCGAAGGAGGAAAACAUCCGGGAAAGUAUUCCCGAUGUUUCGCGUUUUCGGACAGAUGAACCGGAGGGGGAAAGUUGCAUGUUUGCUAUGCUAGGGAUGUGUGGCGGACGAACAGGCUGCGAUCUCAGAUUCGUCUCGUCGUUUUGAGAAACUUUCAUGUACAAAGUAUUUUCAUCCGAGUUACGAUUUAUUUUCUAUGAUUUCUCAAAGUUUUUAGGCAUUUUUGUAAGUUUAUUUAAUUAUUUAAAUGAAACAUUAUUCGGAAUAGUGAAAGGUGAUGUCAGCAUGACGCCACCAGGUCAAACCCAGCUGACCAGAGUCAAACCUGGCAUGUGGGUCCAGUGGGACCCACCUCUCAUAGACUAAGGCUAACUAAACAUGUUUAAUUAGUUUAGUUAAUUGAUUAGGUUAAUCAAACACAAUUAAUUUAAUUAAUUAAUUAAUUAAUAUUUUUAUUUAUUUAUUAUUAGUCUUAAUUCUUCUUUUUAAUUCUUUUUUUCUAAUCGUUCUGGGGUGGGGCCCCUUGUCAUAGGCCCUAGAGGCCUUAACGUGGAGGGCGCUGCGGNNNNNNNNNNNNNNNNNNNNNNNNNNNNNNNNNNNNNNNNNNNNNNNNNNNNNNNNNNNNNNNNNNNNNNNNNNNNNNNNNNNNNNNNNNNNNNNNNNNNNNNNNNNNNNNNNNNNNNNNNNNNNNNNNNNNNNNNNNNNNNNNNNNNNNNNNNNNNNNNNNNNNNNNNNNNNNNNNNNNNNNNNNNNAGGGGGCUGUGGGGCACCGGCGGCCACUCUAGGGCGGAUGCAGAGAACAGCGGGGCCAGGGCAGCACGCCGGCGUGGAGCAGCUGAGGGCAUGUGCGCGCGGUCUCGGCGAGGUGCGGGCACGGCGGCCGUCAACGGGGAAGGCGGGUGCGACACGGUGGCACGUAGUAGCAGCAGAAGGGGUGCAGCAGUUGAGGCCGCGGGCACGUGAGCGGCUGCCGGCAAACAAGGUCAGGCAGAGCGGGAGCGGGACGGGGUACGUCGUCUGGGCGCGAGGACGCGAGCGCGUGUGCGCGUGAUGGUGCGCUGAGCGCGGGGGGCAGGGCCACGGCACGGCCAACGACGGCUACAAGGCGAGUCGGGCACGGUGGCUGGCGAGCAGCAGUGAAGGUGGUGGAGGGGGCCGCGGUAGACGCGGGGCAGAGGGAGAGACGGAGGAGGGUGAGGCCCUCACCGGCAAUGUAGAGACCAGGGGGCGGCGAGGCUCGAGGUGGCCUUUGGGGAGGAGGACGGGGAUGCAAGUUCCGAGGGCGUUGGUCGGCGACGAGCGUCGGCGGAGUGGCUCUGGGCGGCGUCGGCGGCGGUUCCUCGGGCGUGGGCGCGAUCGGGCGGCCGUGUACGGCGAGGCAACGGCGGGGGAUGGCUAUGGCAUGGGAGUGGUUGCGGAGGUGAGUGCAGGGGAGGGUGAGGCGAGCUCGGGGGAGGGGCAGGGUGUGGCCGGCGGGAGGAGCUGCGGGGUCGAGCGGGAGCGCUCAUGCUCAUCCUUGGCGGCGCGAGGUGGGUGGGGGUCGAGGGGAUCGUGCAGAUAGGGAGUGGGGGCGAGAGGUGCGAGGGUCUAGGGUUCGGUUGUAGGGAGGUUAUUGGGCAGUGGUGGGCCGACUGGGUGUGCGACCAGCUGGGCUGUGGCCUAGUUCGACCAGGGGCACUUUUCCUUUUUAUAUUACUUCAUUUUGUUUUUUAUUUAUUCUUUUUUGAUUUAUUUUUGUUUCUAUUUAUUUUAGUUUUAAGAAAAUACAAAAGUGACACCUAAUUUAGUGUUCAAAUUGUGCCUUUGCAACUAUUAAUUUAGCUCUUCAAAAUAAAAUGGUUUGUAAUAGUUUAUUCUUUUUAAAACCAUUUAAGUAAUUGUUUAGCCCCUGUUUUAAUUAAUUUCUUGCAUCUAAACAUUUUAUCAAAAUGUGGUUUCAUCAGCAUAAUUACCUAUGCAUUAUAUGUGUGACGCCCCCAUUUAAUCGUACACUAAUCAUACACGCGAACGUGUACGAUCAAGAUCAGGGACUCACGGGAAGAUAUCACAACACAACUCUACAAAUAAAAUAAGUCAUACAAGCAUCAUAUUACAAGCCAGGGGCCUCGAGGGCUCGAAUACAAGAGCUCAAUCAUAGACGAGUCAGCGGAAGCAACAAUAUCUAAGUACAGACAUAAGUUAAACAAGUUUGCCUUAAGAAGGCUAGCACAAACUAGGAUACAGAUCGAAAGAGGCGCAGGCCUCCUGCUUGGGAUCCUCCUAAACUACUCCUAGUCGCCGUCAGCGGGCUGCACGUAGUAGUAGGCACCUCCCGAGUAGUAGUAGUCGUCGUCGAAGGUGGCGUCUGGCUCCUGGGCUCCAACAUCUGGUUGCGACAACCAGCUAGAAGGGAUAGGGGGAAAAGAGGGAGAAAGCAACCGUGAGUACUCAUCCAAAGUACUCGCAAGCAAGGAGCUACACUACAUAUGUAUGCAUUGGUAUCAACUGGAAUAAGGCUAUUAUAUGUGGACUGAACUGCAGAAAGCCAGGAUAAGGGGGGAUAGCUAGUCCUUUCGAAGACUACGCUUCUGGUAGCCUCCGUCUUGCAGCAUGUAGAAGAGAGUAGACUGAAGUCCUCCAAGUAUCAUCACAUAGCAUAAUCCUAACCGAUGAUCCUCCCCUCGUCGCCCUGUGAGAGAGCGAUCACCAGUUGUAUCUGGCACUUGGAAGGGUGUGUUUUAUUAAGUAUCCGGUUCUAGUUGUCAUAAGGUCAAGGUACAACUCCAAGUCGUCCUCUUACCGAAGAUCACGGCUAUUCAAAUAUAUUAACUUCCCUGUAGGGGUGCACCACAUAUCCCAACACGCUCGAUCCCAUUUGGCCGGACACACUUUCCUGGGUCAUGCCCGGCCUCGGAAGAUCAACACGUCGCAGCCCUACCUAGGCACAACAGAGAGGUCAGCACGCCGGUCUAAAUCCUAUGGCGCAGGGGUCUGGGCCCAUCGCCCAUUGCACACCUGCAUGUUGUGUACGCGGCCGGAAGCGGAACUAGCCCCCUUAAUACAAGAGCAGGCUUACGGUCCAAUCCGGCGCGCGCCACUCAGUCGCUGACGUCACGAAGGCUUCGGCUGAUACCACGACGUCGAGUGCCCAUAACUGUCCCCGCGUAGAUGGUUAGUGCGUAUAGGCCAGUAGCUAGACUCAGAUCAAAUACCAAGAUCUCGUUAAACGUGUUAAGUAUCCGCUAGCUAUUGAAGCGGCAGUGUGACGUCGGCCCACUGCGGAAUGGGAGCCACCUAACUAUGAUUCGGUGAAGGUUCCACCUUCCUUCCACAAAUAUAGUUAUAGUAGUUCCACUCGAUGUGGAUCACGCCCAUGCUUGCUCAGCUCCAGGAUCAGGCUCCUAAACCCAUUUUCAAUAAUUAAGUCAUCUGGUCUAUGUUGUUGGAGUUCCGCAUGAUGCCUUAAUCCCACCUCUUUGUCUAAGGAAUAGCCUUUUCUUCUUUUCUUUAUUGUUCGUGGGAACAUGUAAGAUUAGCAAUGGAAAUUUAGCUACGGCCGUCCCUUCCUCAAGCAAACAACGCGAGACUUAGUUAACGAAACAGGAACUCCAUUCCUUGACACGAAUUUCUGAUACAGAAGUGGAAUCGAAAAAAUGCGGGAAAAAUGCACAUUCAAUAUUGAGAAAAUGUUGCGUAACUGCCCUUGCCUCAAGGUCUUGAGAAACCAGAAACUAGUGUUCGAUGGCCCAACAAAUCCUAUUGGUUUUCGCAGGGGAUGUCAUUUUUACAAGCUUUCGCAUGCUGAGCGUGACUAUGGAUUUUAUAUAGUUAUGGAAUAACCUUCUUAUCCGCGAGUUCUUCGGCCAAAGACUCCUGAUAUCGCUUGUUGGGCCCUUGAUUCCGAAGUACCAGUACCGAAGGCAGACUUGAAUGCAUUAGGUUGGGAAGCGGCCUAGAAGGUGCUUAAAGAUAGGUGACAGUUGUGAAAGUUUAGUCAACUUGUCGGCAGCAACUGACCUUUCUUUCAUCAAAAGUAGGAAUGAAAGCUGGCAUGCAGAUAAGGAAAUCUCUUUUCUUCUCUUCUACUCGGCUACGGACUUUCUAAAAGGAGAAGCAAUAAAUACAAAAGUGCUAGGUUUGGAUUUGAGUGAGAUCCCGGAUCGGUAGCUUCAGAUAUCCCCUCAGACUGGAAUGAGAAUUUCGAUAGAUUUCUUUGCUUUAAAGCAUAGUUGCAGGUAGGUUAUGCUCCUUUGCUUCAUCCCUAUAGUCUAAGGAUUGCCAAUCAAAUAGUAGCAGUAGACUAGCCAUAUUCAUCUUCUACAGUCUCCUGUUUCCCCCUAUUUAAAAUGGUAAGCCUACGCAGCAGAAAAAAAAGGCGCUCUAAUCGUACUCGAGCCCUUAAUCCCCCAAUAGGGCUUACUUACCCGAGUCAAUGCUUUCCUUCCUGUGCGAAAGCAAGGCCUCUUUCUCGACUUUACUUGAAUGCCAUUUACUGAGCUAUCUUCUUUUUUCUUCUUCUGGCGAAAGCACAUUUUAUUAUUUUACGGAAGCAAGAUGAAAGGUCAUUUCGCCAAUCUGGGGAAUAACAGUUAAAGCAAUCGAUCGGAGAAGCCCUCCCUAGUAUUGAGAAUGAAAAAGUGGAUUCAUUCCCCAGGCGUGUGUGUGUGCUUUCCACGGGCCUGAUCUCGAUUUCUUCUUAAGCUGUUAUGUCCUCCGAAGUGAAGUGGAUUGGUCGGAAGCUAGACUCCAACAACAUCGAUACUCAAAUAACCGACUCUCAUACAUGGCUUAGAACCUUCAAUCUUUAGCCAUUAUUCCCAGUUCAGGUGGUUAGGUACCAAAAGUUAUAAAUAGGCCCAAUUUCUCCUUUUAUACUAGAUUUCCUUAACAAGGGCAUCCAAUUCUUGAAACAAGUCACGCUCCCUUCUCUUUCCACUUUCACUUUCAUGCCCAGUUCUUUUUCGACUUGGCAAUCGUAGCAAUUUAUGUAAAGCCUCCUGAUCCGGAGAAACAUGCUCGAUACAUUCUAGUGAACUACGAAGAGAAGCUAGAACGGUGGAAGCCUGAAUCCAGUGAGUGCCCAUUCUUAAUAAACUUGGGAAUAGUAGCUCCUAUGGUUUCUAGAGCGAGUGAAUGAAACACUAUCUUCUUAUGAGCGGAGAUAGAGAGCUAUGUCACAAUCAAUAAGUGAGAUGCUGUGGGCGAGGAAUCUUCUGUCACAAUAGAGGUCUUCUUUUCGAAUUUAAGUGGGACUAGCUUCUUCCUCAAUUGAUAUUACUGACAAUCUAGCAAUUCCAUCCUUUAGAAGAAGAUAAGUAAACCAUUUCUUUGAAUUGCAUGAUUGAGUGAUGGAUGCGGACAAUCACAAGCCUACUUUGUUUAUAGAAAAGAGCGUAUAACCCCCGAUCCCUACCUGUUGUAGAGAAUAUAUCAUCUAAACUCUUCUGUGCCAUUUGCCGCCUAAUACACUAUUUUAGUAUAAUGUUGUUUGCUGGUACAUAUCUCUUGAUUGACUAUUUAUUGGUUAUUAAGCAUUAGUGAGCUGACCUAUGUACAAGUUCUGAGUCAACCCCCAGACAUGUAUCUCCUUGCCUUGUAAUCUCUCAUUCAUCUAUUUAUGUGCAUGCUUUAGCGAAGUCUCCAGCCCCAUAAAUAUUAGUUAAUGCAUGACGCGUAAAUCAAUAACUAAAACUAAAGUGUCGAUCAUCCCAUGCUACCACAGGAUUUUUCAACAACAUGACAUAUUGAGAAAAAUAUAUGUUAGAGCCGCCAUUUCUUUACGGUUACAUUAGUGUGGAUUGUUCUUCUGAUUCUUAUAGGCCUGGCACCCUAGCUUCGAUAGAUUUAUUUGAUUUUGCAAGCUAUGGCACAGGAAUGUGAUAUGGGUCGUAUCCCGCACCUCCCUUGAUUCCGUGUGAAAUCCAUCCAAAAAAGCACGAGUUGGAUCGGCGUAAAGAACAAGACGAACGUGGUAUUAUCUCUAUUAGGACGGUUAUGAGGCUCUGCUCUUUUUUUUCUUUAUUCAAUAUCUAUUCUUUGUUUCUUAUAUUCCGCUAAUUGUUAUCUUGAAUGUAUCUUUAUGCUUAAUAGAUAACUGGUGAUGCUAGAGCUGUCAAGAAGGCAUUGUUUUCAGUAUCAACCAUCAUCUACAAAUGCCCAUCAAAAGAGACCAUUUCUCUUGAAACUUCUGUCCCUCCAAGCAUUGUACAUCCUUCAGAGCUUCCUGUCUAUCCUGCUAGUAACUUCUACUCAGUGUCAGAUGCAGCUAUACCUUAUGGAAUGGACAUCCAAAUCUAGGUAUCUUAGCAAAGGAAGUGGCAUUCAAAUCUACAGGUUUUUCUUCUUUAGCCUUUUCGCCCAGCGUUGUCAUUAUUGACACGUUUUUGCGAUCCCUGUUUUUGAGAUCCUCAAUGACUACCACCAGAAAGGGAAUGUGACCACCAUUCUUAUUUGAUAAAAGUGUCUCCACUAUAGCACUAACGAUCCUAGAC
rnacentral:lncRNA from 1 species